UUUUUUUUUUUUUUUUUUGGGCUUGAAGUUUGGAAUCUGCUCAUAUUAUAUUGUUAGAUUGAUUGUGAAGUUUUGUAAAAAAAAAAAAAAAUACAUAAUACAUAUAGUGAUAAAUUUAAAUUAGUCAUUUUAAUGUGUAAUAGAAUGAUUAAUUGGUUUUAGAAUAUAAGAGAAAAUCUAGUAAAGUUAAUUCACAAGCAAGGAGAUGAAAUUAGAGAGGGGUAAUAUGGUGUAAUCAAAAUAAAAAUGAAAUAGUGGGAGAGCAAAUAAUAUUAACCUUAUAAAUAUUGUAAUAUUAUAGGGAGAUAAAUUGAUGCAAUUUAACUUUAGAGGUGCGAGAUGAGAAAAAUAGAGAGUAUUUUUCGAGGAGACUUAAUGGAAUAAACCCUUUGAACACUAUAGUAGCAUUGAUAUGUGAUUCACACGUACCAAUCUAGAGUUUAUCUUUUAGCACCAAGUAGACAAGAAUGGCUCGUCUUUCCAUUUUUAAUAUCCUUGGUACUACCAUGUUAUCCCACCAGACAAUCGAAAGAAUCUCGAGAACCCAACAGAUAAAAUUACAAGAGUGAUUACACGCACUCGUGAGAGGUCUCAAGUGUUGAUUUUUUAACAAUAAUUUUAAAAAGUGUUCAAAUGCAGGGGUCCAAUAAAGCAAUAAAUAUGUGUAUUCACAUAAUAAACUAUACAUAAUUCAAACGUGCUAACCAAUAUCCUUGGAGUGUUUGUCAAAAAACACAAAAAUCUAAUAUCCGUACUAUAACGAGGAGAGAGCUUUUGGUGUAGAUAAAUUCCGUGUUUUAUGCUCUUUCCAAAUUAUUCCUGAUAACUAUCCACUACCAAAUUCUAACACAUAUUUCUUAUUAUUCUAUUUCUCAACCUAUUUAAUAAAUCAUAAUUUUUAUUAGUAACUAUCAGCUGUGGUUAUGAUUUACCACUAAAAUUUAUUUAUAUAUAUAUUUUUUAUUUUGAUGAAUUUUUUAUAUAUCUAUUAUCAAAUAUAAAACCAAUUAUCCCAAAUAAUUUCAACAAAUAUAGUAAAAUUAUUUUAUAAAUAUAUUUUCUAUUAAUUACAUAUAUAUAUAUAUAUAUAUAUAUAUAUUUGUGUGUCUUGAAUACUAGUAAUUAAUAAUAGUGCAUCAUCUAGCACAUAAAGGCCAUGCAUAUUUUUCUCAUAUGCUCAUAGUGUUUGGGUUGGAGUUCUUCACCAAAAAAUUGUUACAUUGUUUAUGAGCACAGUUUUCAAUCAUAUUUCUACCUUACAUAUAAUAAAUUAUUAUAGUAUAUUUUUUUUUAUAAAAAUAUCCAAAAAUAACAAUCUAAACAGGACAUAAAACUUUCAAGAUGGUUCAUUUUCCCAUUUCUAAAUUACACACUGCGCAUCAUCAUUGACCCUAUAAGAUUACGGUCAUAUAACUUGAUUCGCUUUACCCACUUUCUUCACAAAACUCACAAUAUAUUGCCAUAAUUGUUUUAUAAAAACAUAACCCCGAAAUAUAAAAAAUACACACUUAUUUUCCUCUUUCAUCACCACCCUCCCUUACCAUAUCACUUAUUCCUACCAUCAUCGCCCUAUCUCUUGCACCACCAUUUCUUCCCCACUUUCGCCAUCACUACCUCUCAUUCUUUCCUUUCACCAUUUUUUGGUCUCACCUAAAUUCAAGGAGGGGUGGGUAAGGGAUGGGAAAAGAUAUGAGAAAGGCGGUGAUGAGGAAAGAGAGAGGAAGAGAAGGUGAAGGAAAUGGAGAAGCAAGAGAGAGAGGCGUGGCAGGGAAUGGGAAGGAAGUGGUAAGAAAAGAGGAGGAUCAAGACAAGGGAAGUGAUGAGAGUAAAUGGGAGAAUUAGAACUGUACACGAAUCGAGCCACUCGCAAUUGAAUACGAGCUUGACUCGAGCUCGGUCAAUAUCGAUCUCGAUUCGAGCUUGAACUAAAAAACAUUAAGCUCGUUGAUUCGCGAGUGGCUUGCGAGCUCGAUUAUAUAUAUAAUUUUAAUAGUAAAAUUACAUAUAUAUUCCUAAUAUUUAUUAUUUGUUAAGAAAAUUAUUAUUUUAUUCAUUUUAAAAAAUAAAAUAAUAAUUUUUUAUUUUUAAAAAUAAAAUAAUAAUUAUUUUUUAAUUUUUUAAGCUCAAACUCGAAGUUUUGACAUUUUGAGCUCGUCAAGCUCGUGCUUGAGUUAGAGUUUCUUAAAAUUAAUUAGAAAUUCGACUUGAUUUGAGCAAAACUCGACUCAUUUGUACCCUUAGAGAGAAUGGUGGCAAGCGAUAGUGGUAGGGACGACAAUAAUAGUGGUGUAGGGAUAGGUGGUGCGAUACGUGGCACAUAGAGAUGACAGAUUUUAUAAUUAUCCUCAAGAUAGUUUAAAUACACUAAAGGUUUUUUUUAAUAAACAUUUUACAUUAAGCUACAGUUGCAAUAAAAAUUUUAGGACCCGUUUGAUAAUCCAAUUCGGAUGUUAAAUUUAAUAAACUAGAUAUUAACAUAUGCAAACUUAUUUGAUAAUUAGAAAUUGAACAAUUGAAUUAAUUAAGUGACGCUAACUUUCUUAGGCAAAACUAGCUCUAAAAAUAAGUGAUAAAUUAUUCACUUAUCAUUUAAUAUGAUAUACGCUCAAAUGGAGGAGGGGCAUGAAUGGUUCCUAAAGGUUCAUGGCCAAGAUUUAGCCAAAAAAAAAAAAGGUCUAAAUUGCAUCUUAUAUUUUAGUUUUUCACACCAUGUAUGGAACUCAUAAAAUUUUGUUCUAUAAUUACACAUUGUUGAAAAUGAGUUACACCAUAUACAUACAAAAAUUACAUCUUAUACAUUUUGUACAAAAUCGGUUCGAACGAUUUUCUGACAAACUGUACCGAUCCCUUGUCCAUGCUCAAACAUAUCAAUUUUAUAUAUUUAACAAUUUAAUAAAUUUAGAUUUCAUAUUUCAUUUUUAUCAAACACACUAUUAGACAUACAUAAAAAAAAUCAUACCACUCAAACCAACCUCUUAUUUCUCAAUUACGGUACGUUGUUUUUGUUACUUGCUAUAGAUAUAAAAGGAGUGGAGAUUUAUUCUAGUAGUUGAUUGUGUAUGUUCUUUGGACUUCCAAGGGGGAAAUUAAUUGCGCGUCUUGACGGACCUCGUCAAUAGUCAAAUGGGAGGUAAUCUAGUGCUUUGGAAGUUGGAAAAUCUGAAGUAGAACCGUUGUUUUGUCAGCAGUAGUAAUUGUUAUUGCCGUUCUGACUUGUGACAUGCGACCAUGAAAGUUGAAACAGCCAUCGCUAAUGACAAGGAACCCGAGACCAAAAUUGCAGCGGCACCUCGUACGCUCCCAAUUAAUCCUUCUAUUUCUUUUAGGUAGGUGGUCCAUCAUUAGUACAGAUUGGUGUUAAUUAAUCCUUUUUGGAUCAUUAAGGAGAUCACAUACAUACUCCAUAGUAAUUAACACAAUAAAGGAGCAUACGUUCAAAACCGUGUAAUUUGUCCAUAAGUUGUUCCAAACAAUUAACGUGAAUUAAAUAUUUUAUUCUUGAACCCCAAUUAAUUCUCUUUAAUUAAGAGCUGCUCGUUUUAUCCGAUUCAGCCAAAUGCACCAAAAGCGCAAUGAUAAUGACCGACUAUUUUUAGUUUCUUGCACAUCAUCUCCAUGUAUUUCAAGCCAAAUGGCAAAACAUAUAUGGUAGGCACAACUAAAUUUGGGAGGGUGCAAGAGCUCAAGAAGGCAAUAGUAUUUGAAUAUCAUGAUUGUCCAAUACGCUUUGGGGUGAUCGGUAUUUAAUGGAUAUUCGUCUUAAUAGAGAUCUCAGGUGUUAGUUUCUUUAACAAAUUAUGGUCAAUUUGAAUCCAAAAAAAAAAAAAUCUAAAUAGAGUUGUACAAAUAUUAUGAUUGUGUUUAUUCACUUGGGCGUAAUUUAAAUGUGUUAAUGAAUGAUUAUUGAGCAACAAGUUAGAAAAAUAGUACUCCCUCCGUUUCAAUUAUUUAGUCAUGUUUCGGGAAUCUAAAACUUUUUUAAAAUAGUGGUUUGACUGUGAUGUUUGUGUUUCUCUUUCUAAUUUUACUCCCACAAAUUCAAAAUUUAAAAGUGAAUGAUAACAUGUAUAUAUGAUUGCAAAAGAGUGACUAUAUUAGAAAGAGAGACGAAAAGGCAAUUUGACUUUUUUAACGUAACAAAUGUUUUGAAAUAUUUUAAAAUGAAAAAUAUGACACUUUUAAUGGGAUAACGGUAGUAUAUAAUAUCAUGGGAUCGGGGCCUUGUGUCUUCUGUGGCUAUUAGCUUUGGAUGCUGAUAUUUAUUUAUUCUAUCUGUGUCGGAUAAUUAUUUUUCCUAAAGGAAUGAUCAAAUUAAAAUACCAAAUUGGUCACCUUUGGGCUUUAAUUUGUCAUCUAUCUUGUUUUAGGAUAAUAAAAAAUAUAGUUAUUCGGUGACAACUUUAGGUUCAUAAUUGUUACAGGAUUUAAAUUAGUUCGGAGUGAAAUGUAGCAACAAGUUGAGAGGAUUAAGUAUAUAAAUGCAGAGACACAAAUAUCCCAUUAUGGUAAAAGAUUAAUUUUUGGAAAAUCAAAUUUAAGCUGCAACGCUAAUUGUUAUCGACUGGUGCUGCCACCUGUCCCUCAAUUCAAACCAAUCCUAUCUGAAUCUCUUUUUCCAUAUUCUCUUUCUUUUACCUGACAGUCUGAUACUGAUAGGAUUUACUUUUUUACUAUUUCUAUGUGGAUAUGAAUUUAAUUAAUUCUCCUUCUCAUCUCCGGAACGGAACUGCCCCGCAAUUUCUACUCCUUUAUUUCCCUUUUUCUUUUAAAUUUAGGAAUUCAAAAGAUCUCCUCGAUCAACACUUUUACCCUCCACUCUCCUCUUUCUCUUCUCCGUCUCUCUUGUAAGGAGAAUGAAUGUUUUCUUCUCUCUUUCCUCCCCAUCUUUAAAACACCAUUAGAGACAGAGGAAAGAGAGAGACAUCCCCAUACACAGGAAAGAGAGAAAGAAGGAAGGAAACAAACAAAGGCAAUAACGUCAACCUCAACGCAUAUAUUCCCAGAACAUGUUGUUAUAUAUGUAGCUUUCUUGACAGACCCAAACCCAGACGCAGACCCAAUAUCCAUCCAUUCAAGGCCUGUAAUUAAUUGGCGUCUCCAAGUUAUCAUUGCAAAUUUCAGAAAGCGCGUACAUGCACUUCCCUUCCCCACCCACCCACCGUCCAAAUUUCAGACCGUCCCGUUAUGGGCAAUUGCAAUUUCCAUCCGUGUUUUGUAAUUGAAGCCUAGAUUUGAUCAGGGGUUUUCUCUGUAUAUCAGUGGAUUUCCUCCCACGGAGAGAAAAGCGGACAAAGAGGGGAAAGGCUGAUCCUGGACCCGGCCUUUUCUUUCUUUUUUUUUUUUGGAGUGGUGUACUGAUAUUCCCUUAAAUUAAGGAGCCUAUGAUGUCUGAUGGGUAUAAGAAAAGUGACGAUAUUUGUGAAGACGUUUGCGGUAGCCAGGUUUGUUGUUUUCUUCGUUAACUAAUUUUCUGUCUAGUUAUAUGUUUCUUCACUAAUCACCGUUAAAAAGAAGUUGAAGACUUCGUGUUUGUUUCUGUGGGUAUGCAAAUGAUUUUUCUUGGAUUUUUUUUUCCAUUUUGUGGGAUUAUUUGGGAUGUUCUUCAACAUAUAUCCAUGCAUAUAACAGGAUAAAUUCUCGUUAUUACUGUUUUUUUUUUUUUUUUGAAUUUGGUAAAACCAGCAAUAUCUGUUAUUCUUCUUGCACACGUCCUCUCUUUUCCCCUGCUUCACUUCCAUUUUCCUUGAUCAUAUGCUCGAGUGGUGAACGUGUUGUGUUUAUUUAUUUUGUUUGCCCAUUUGUAUCGCUUACUUAGUGAAGUAGCAACUAGUCAAUUGAACAUUGGAGGAGGAUAUUAUUGGUUCUGGAUGUUUUGUAUGUUACAGUUAUGUGUAGCUUUUAGGAAUUUCACAAUACACAUAUUGGUGUACCGUAUGGCAUCAAUGACCAGUGCUGCUUCUUUGGCUUGAUUCUUCAAUAACUGAGCAUCUUAGAAAGUUGUUAUUUUGAAUUUGCUGCAGACCUCAAACUCACCGUUGAGCAUGUCAAGACUGCGCUGUUUCUGUCAAGGGCUAGAUGUCAAGACGCUGAUCGUUUUGUUUUUGUUUGUGCCAACAUGCAUAGUUGGUGCUUACUUUCAUGGGCAGAAGGUGACCUACUUUCUGCGGCCAUUAUGGCAAUCUCCUCCUAAGCCAUUUAUUGAGAUGACUCACUAUUACCAUGAGAACAUCACGAUGGAGAAUCUUUGCAAGCUUCACGGUUGGGGAGUACGUGAAUUUCCCAGACGUGUCUAUGAUGCUGUAUUGUUUAAUAAUGAAGUAGACAUGCUUACAAUCCGCUGGAAAGAGUUGUAUCCUUAUGUGACACAGUAUGUUCUUCUUGAAUCAAAUUCGACGUUUACUGCUUUACCGAAGCCCUACUUUUUUGCGCUGAGUCGGGACAAGUUUAAAUUCGUUGAGCAGAGGUUGACAUAUGGAACAAUUGGGGAAGAUUUCGAAGAGGCGAAAACCCAUUUAUUGAAGAGGCAUAUCAGAGGGUGGCACUUGACCAGCUUCUCCAAAUAGCUGGAAUUGAGGAUGAUGAUUUGCUGAUAAUGUCUGACGUUGAUGAAAUUCCGAGCAGGCACACGAUUAAUCUCUUAAGAUGGUGUGAUGACAUCCCUCAGAUUCUUCACCUUCAGCUGAGGAACUACUUGUACUCGUUUGAGUUCUACUUCGACUCCAAAAGCUGGAGAGCUUCAGUACAUAGGUACCGGAGGGGGAAAACUAGGUAUGCACACUAUCGUCAGACUGACUAUCUCUUAUCGGAUGCAGGGUGGCAUUGUAGCUUUUGUUUCCGCCAUAUCAGUGAUUUUAUAUUCAAGAUGAAAGCCUACAGCCAUAAUGAUCGAGUGAGGUUCUCUCAUUAUUUGGACCCAAGAGGAUUCAAGAUAUUAUCUGCCGAGGAGCUGAUUUAUAUGACAUGCUUCCAGAGGAGUACACAUUCAAGGAUAUCAUUAGGAGGUUGGGACCGAUUCCUCAUUCUUAUUCAGGAGUUCAUCUUCCUGCUCAUUUAUUGGACAAUGCUGACAAGUACAAAUACCUUUUACCUGGGAACUGUAGAAGAGAAGGCUGACAUGGCUGGAGUAAGAGAGUGAGGUGCUUAGGUUAUCAACAGAGAGGCAGAACAUGUCCUGCACCAUGAUAGGUAUGCAGUGUAACUGAUGGUGAUGACAUAUACAGUUUUCGGAUAUGGCCACAUGCCUUGAUGGUUUCAACAAGAUUUAGGUCAUUAUGUCUGAGUAAAGCAGGGAAGAAUGGAUGGCUUGCUGGUUUACUGGGUAAACUUUGUCUGUAUUGCUGCAUUGUUUACCAAGUUGGGAGAAUGAUUAGGGCGUAAUGACGUGAGAGUUGUGGACAAACUCUGCUUCACUGUUGCUGCAUAACCCUGAAGAUGCUGUAGAGUUACAUGGCAUUUCUCAGGAUUUUCUUUGUGUAGGAACUUUGUUUUGCCUUUUGUUCUUCUUUUUUUUUUUUUGACACUAAUUUACACAAUCAUCUGACUGAGCAAAGAUUCCAUUAGCUGUAGAGCUGACUUUAUUCCACCCGAGGCAUUUAUGCAUUGUUCGUGUACGUUCCUUUCCAUCUUGGAUUCUGCUUACCUUUCUUCGGUUUACCCUCGUAAUUUUCUUGCAGAGACCACUUAUUUUGAAUUUUGUGAACUGUUGAGACUUGAGUGAAAUUUUCAGUAUUGCUGGUGACUGAAUCUAGAGCAAGUUUGACAAAACUUUAAGGAUCAAGGAACAAUUCCUAGGCUUUGUAAGACGGUUGUUGCAGUAGACCAAAAAUUUACGACUAGCAUGUGAUGUGAUGUGGUUUCGGCUUCUUUGCACUUUGAUCUGACUACAAAUGUGCUCUGAAUUCAAGUUGGUUCUUUUUCCAAGUGCGUAUUCCGAAUUGAACCACCACCACCAUAAUUAUUCGAUUAUGGCCACCGGGGUGGUGGUUUGUCAGGUUUCGACUGGAAUGUCACGUGUCCCCCUGUGGUGAACCCCGUUGUUAUUUGGAUAGGAAGAGGGUAGUCAACAACUUCUUCUUAUUGGAGCAUACGACCUUUACUUUACAACUGCAAACUGGACCCAUCUUUUUAUCUUGUGCAAAAGGAUUCACUCUCUACGCCAACAUAAAUACCACCGUCUAUUAAUUAAAGAUGAUACCUUGCAUCUUGCUGCGAUGCUUCCAGGAAGGAGUGGUGAAAUUUCUACCGCCCCUUCCGUUCUUAGCCGACACACAGUUGCAUGCAUGGUUUUUCCAAAGGACAGACCAAAACUAGGUUAGUUCACACUUUGGGCUUCAAACGCUUUUAAGGAAACAUUACAUUUGUUGUCUGUCUGACCAGAAGUUGGAAUUUUGACUUCAAAGUCACCUUUCCCGGUUCCAGAAAGAUUUGGGAUUCCGGGACCAAUUCCAAGUUCAGUGUCCGGUUAAAUAAAAGAAAUUUCCAGAUAAUCAAGAACAAUAAUAUAUUGGUUGUUAAGUUGAACAACUUUAGGGCUCUGUGCAAAUGCAUCUCUUAUUAAAAAUUGCUCGCACGGUAGUAUUUGUAUUUCUAAUCCACGUUUGGCUCUAUCUUAUGGUACAUUAAGGGCCGUUUGGAGUUGCGGUGAUUCAUUAAAAAGUACUUUUUCAAUAAAGCUUUUAAUAAAAGUACUUAUUAACUAUUUAAAUGCUUUUAAAUAUAUUUUUGAAAACGCAUUUCAAUAAGUGCUUUUUGCAUCGAAUAAUGUGUAAUUUAGAAAUUUUUAAAAGUAUUUAUCUCUUUAUUUGGCUCAUAAUCUAAGAUAAAAUGAUUAAAUUUGAUGUUUCUUUUUUUUUAUUAUUAUUAUAAAUUAUGAAAGCUAUUUUAAAAACACCAAAUUUGAGUUUUUGCUAAAAAUACUUUUAACAUAAAAAACUCGACUCCUAAUUUUAUGGAAUGAUAUUCACUAAACACUUUAAAAGUACUUUUUUAACAAAAGCACCGCAACCCCAAACAGAGCCUCAGGAACUUAGAUAAACGGUUUGUCAUACAUUUGUCUGCUCUUGUUUAAAGAGCUAGCGUUUUCAGUUUUGUCCACCUUUAAUAGAAACUCUCUCACCUCCCCAACGGGGUUCUCAAUUGGCUUCCCAACAACUAGCUCCAAAGGCACCAUUCACGACCCAUCGAGGAUCAAAACUAAGCACACUUUUCGUUGAACAAACAACAUUCAUAACUUUUUAUUUUUUUUUGGAGCACAUUCAUAACAACUUAAUCAAGCCAUUUCGGAAAAGUUACCAGACUUUACAAACGGUGCUGAAUUUUCCACCAUAAAUUUACCUACCAAAGUGCAUUUCUACCAAGAAGUUCAGGAGGACUAUGUGCCAAAAAAACAGCUAAGACUUUAGGCAAUACUCAUUACCCUCUCCUUCUAGAUAACCUUUUCGAAAUUCAUCCAUGCAUGGAUGCAUCCCAGAACUAAACGUGUUAUAUGCUAUUGAAUUUGCACUAGCUAUUAAAGAGUUCAAGAAGUUGAGUUUGGCAGCCUCACCAAUCCCCAGUUCUCCACUUGUACUUGUCUCAAAAGAGUUGAGUCUUUGACUACUAUUCUGUCUCCAUUCCCUCAUUUCAUUAUUACUUGCCGUUUAUACGUACCUAAAAAACCUUUACCAUAACUGCAAACAUCCUCAUCUCAAAACUCGAAUCACAAUGUUUUCAUAUAGGAUAGACGAAAGAGCGACAACAUGACAGGCAAUAAAGCAUUGUUUUCUCAAAGUAGAUAAUACAGUAGGCUGGAGUGGAUGCUGAAACUGACAGAAAAUUCACCGUGUCAACAUUUAUUAUUGCUCGAAUGGGACACUGUCCAUGCCAUGUUUCCCAGAAAAAUACCCUCCAACUCCAAUUUUGCAUGCCAGGGAAAAAAAUGCCAAGCAGAUAUCACACCUCCAGUUUGUCUUUUGAGUAGUUCAGAUUGUGGUUUCCAACUGCAAGCCCUUGAAAAUGCAUCAAGGUUUCAGAGCAAGUCCAGUUAUCUGUAUAGACAGAACCUGGUCCGCAUAAACAGAACCAAGUACUCCUCAAAACAUCCGUAGUAGCAAAUAUGUCCGCAACCCAAGAAACACAAACAGGCUGCUGAACAAUUGGAAAAGAUUGGACACUGACCAUCCUACCAAAUAAUUGAACACCAUUGCGCACAGCGUACAUUCUUAAAUAGUCUAUAGGCUAGCAUGUUUGGUUCGUUUUAGCCCAUCUCAACAAAAACUAGAGAGAACUUCCAGUUGCUCUCACAGGACAAGAACCCUCUGAAAUAUUUUGCUCCAGUCUUUCUGUUUGCUUUACAAUUAACAUCCAUGGAGUGAUCUAGCUGUCAUAUUUACCCUAUUACCUGCUCUUGCCCCAGAGGUGCAUCUCCAGUAUUGGUUGGUUACUCUUAACAUGUUACAAUCAAGUUGCAUCCUAACUUAACUAAUCACUAUCCCAAGUUUCAUCUAACUCUUUAAAGUUUUUGAUAUUUCUGCAUGCCAUUAUUCUUCUGGUUAUCCUUCUUCAGCUCAUAAUUUUCCUCAUUGUAAAUGUAUCCUUACAAUUCUCCGAUGUUCCUGGGACAAGGUUUUCUUCAGCAUCUGACUCACUAAACAUAUGAGAAAUCGCAGCAUUAGGUCUUCCCCAAUCUCCCCAGAAUUGCCUCUCAAGGCUUUAUUGUCCUUCAUACUCCCUGCCCUUGAUACCCCAAAAUCCAGGUGAAUUGCUGCCAGAACUGUCAGCAUCAUUUGGAGGACUCUUUAUCCUACCAAUACCAUCUUUAUUACCUGUCCUCGUAUGAUCAUAGUCAUCCUCAUCUGGUACUGCUCUGGUAAUUGUAACCAGGAGCUCUAGAUUUCAUCACAUUCUGCCUUUCCCUAUCAUCUGAUUCGUACAUGACAUCUUCCAGAUCACUCAACAUACCAUCUGAAAUGGAAUCUUUGACAACCUUUUCUACACGUACUUAGAUUUCUCAUUUCUGCUGAAGCUUGUGCUUUUACUGCUUCUAAGAUCUUAUUGUUGCCUUCUUGCUACUUUGUGCCCAGAAAAUCGGUCACGAGCUUCACCAGAGUCACUACAAUCAGUCUCAUCAUUACUUACAUCCUGACUAUCAUUGGAAUCCCAUCCACCAUCAUCCUCAGACAUAUCUCCAUCGUCAUCAUCAGAAGCAGUGAUUCUUUCCCUGCCACGCGCACUACUCCAGUUCUGUGUCCUUCCUCUGAUAUUAUCAUCAGAUUCAUCACCUCCAAUCUUUUCAGAUCUUCUGAAUCUAUCACCUGAAUCUUCCUUGUUCCAGUAUCUGAUUUUUCCAAACUCUUCUUUCUCUGCAGCUUCCUCAGCAGCCCAUUCUUUAUCAGCUGCAUCCUCUAUCUCAGCUAUGAAUCUGUCAAGCUCCUCCUGGUCACUGUCUUCAGCAGAUUGUGAUUGUUGCAGAUCGCUAAUAGACACCAUCUCUGUCUUUUUGUCCCUCUGGAAGACGUAGGGGCUUCCUUCUUUCUUGUCAAUUGCAUUGAAGAAUGUUGAAGCUACUCUUUGGAUACUAGCCAUUGCAACAGGAUCAUCAGGAUUUACUCCCUUCCGGCGGAGCUCCUGCUCGAUUUUCUUAAUGUUUAGUUUCUGAGAUUCUAGUGCUUGUUCAAAUCUGGCUUUGAACAAUGCCUGCAAAACAAAGAUAACAAGUCAAAGAAUGAAUUAUUUAACAAAUCCACACUUCCAAUGUUCUAAAACGAAACUCCCCAGUUAAACCUUUCAUUUUCUACAAAUAUUUUCCAGCAGGCAAUUUUUGGCACCAUUUCCAGACAAUUUAAAUCCUUUAGAAAAGCUUGACUUGGUAGUAUACAUGUAAGUUCCAAUAAGUACAGACGCUUACAAGAAGGAUAUUAAAAAAAAAAAACUCUGAAGCAUAAGCUUGGAAGAAUAAAAUUGGAAAGGCAAACAACUUUAGAGUUAGUAAAUCACCUUGCAGGCAAUAAAAUGGCAUAAAACAGAGAAGAAAGCUACAUAACUGACCUUCCUCUUUGUAAGAGUGUUGAUAGGUAUCAAAUUCUUUGGUUGCCGAUAGUUUCUGCCACGAAACAUUAUGAUUGUUUUCACAUUAUGCACGUUAACCACAAUUCCCCCACUCAGUCUUGCCAGCAUGCUAGCCAUUUCCUUAAUCCUUUCCUUGGGGAAGUUAUCGCAACAAACCUGUACGGUCUCAUGAAACUUCCAAUGGAGGUGCAUAUUUUGUACAACUCCACCAAAGACUCCACGAACUCCAACAGGAACAUAAUUUCUAUUUCUGUAGCCAAUCUUCUUAUAUGCCUGCAGUUGCUCGGGAGUUAAUAGCUCAGGGUCAUGGCAUGGAGGUGGUAGCUCAGGAAGCUCAUAUUUUUUCAGCUUCUGCAGAAGCAAUGCCACCUUUUUCUUUGCCUACACUAGUUCAAAACAGACAUAUCUAACGUAAGACAAUAAGCUGGUAUGCCAUCACAGAAGAAAUGAGUUCUAAAGAUAUUUUUAUGCUAAUGCACAGCAAAAAAAUGAGAUGCCAUAUAUCAUCAGCAGCUGAUAACAGCUAAUACGCAUCAUGUAUUAGCUUAUUGGUUAUAUAUGACCAUCUCAUCAGCAAAGAGAGAAUUAAGUGUGGAGUGACACGAAAGAAGAUCCGUACUGUAACAUAAGACAGAACCACACAGACAGUACAAUUCAUCCCACUAACAAGAUCUGAGUAGCGAAGCAAAAGUAUCAAACUCCAUCCACAAAAUCCGCCACUAAUGAUUCCCAUAAACCAAAAGUAUCAAACACAAGACAACAGAGAUCGAAUACUAUAGAGGCAUAUGUGAAUGUAAAUCACAAGUGCGCAAAAAGAAAGCAUAGCAGAACCACUAAUGAACCAUGUUCUCUUAAUCAUGGAACUGAUCAAACGAAAAUUCUCAAUAUUUUGUCCUUCACAUAGAGCACACCUCAAGGUGCAUAGCCAUUAUUUUACUAAAUUCGUCAUCAGUAAUUUCUUUCACUUCUCAGGAAAUUCAUCCUGCACUUGGUCACUAAAGGAUAUAAUUCGACUAGUUGAAGGGAAAGAACAAAACUUGAUGCUUUGAAAAGGAUGGAGGUGAAGAAGAGAUAAUUGGAGUUAAAAAAGAAUAAAGAGGAGCAACGUACUCUUCUGAGAUUGUAAAUAAGGCGUUCCUCGUCAGUCAUCAAUUUCUUCCUCAACUUCUUAGCCCGCCGAAUCUCUCUCAAGGUUUUGCCCGAUUCCUUUCGCAUCCGCCUCUCCACUUUGCUCCUCAUACUCUUGGCUGACAAUCCCCGAGCCCCGUCGAAGCCAUUCCACACUCUCCUCAUUGAAACAAAACACACAUCUUUCACAGGAAAAACACUCCCCUCAAUCACGCCGCGCCGCCCCAUUUCGUCCAACCAUCUCCUUCACCCUUCACCGCAUUCCUUUAAAAAGUAAGAAAGAAAGAAAGAAAACUUUAGCAAGAAUUCAAAAAGCAAACGGAGAGAGACACACAUAGAACAGAAGGAGCAUUACUUGGAGGAAUUGAAGAAGAAGAGAGAAGAGAGGGCUCUGAGGGACUGUCUUUGAAGAUUUUUAGCAGCCAACAUUAUGGCCAAUAUAUGAUGAUCUAAAAGGCUGCCGUUAUGAUUUGAUCUUGUGUAUAUAUAUAUAUAUAUAUUUUCUCUAUUUAAAUCACCUAGCAAGUCGAAGAUGAAGAUUGCAUUUCCAAUGGAUUGGGAAUUUGGAGGAGGAUGCAACCACAGAUAUUUUUGCUUAUUGCUGCUGUGGGUUUUUUUAGGGGUUUUAGAAAAAUAUUAGACGUGGGCUCUCGCUCGACUCGUUUAAUUUAUGGGUUGAAGCUAACGACGUCGUUCGCUUAACUAAUGGGUUGCUCCAAAAUUGAAAAUUCAUGCGGGCGGAGGGAUGGAUCGGAUGUUCCUAUCCUUUCGCUUGUGGCUCCAAACGUAUAAUAAAAAUAUAAUAAACAGGGAAAAGUCUGAAGUAACGAGCGUUAUGAUAACGAAACUGUUUUUACCUGAUAUAACAGGUAAAAACACUUUUAGCGACCAUUUGAUUACCUGUUAUACUGGUCAUCUAAAUAAAAUAGUACCUAAAAAUAUGGUUAGUAAGUUUUACAUUAAAAAUAGUAAGUUAACUCAAGAAAUUAGUAACUUUUAUGUCUCAAAAAGUAAAUUUGAAGAAAUAUGGAACUUACUUUUUUUUUGAAGUAGAUAACUACUCUAUAUCUAAAACUUACUUUUUGGAGAGUAAGUUUAGUUCAAAUAAUAGUAAGUUUUUAUAGACUAAUAGUAAAUAUUGUUGAUAGAAUAGUAAAUUUGGGUUAAUCAUCAAAACUUACUAGUUUAUGGCAUAAAUUUACUAUUUUACUUAAAGAAACUUAUAUGGAACAAGUAUUAGGAAGUUUAUUUGAAAUAAUGCUAAGAUUUUUUAUUAAUAAUUGAAACUUAGUAUUAUAGUUAGUAAUUACUCGUAAUGUAAAUGUAUGAUACACAAUUGUACGUAUCAUUUAUAAAUGUUAUAUGUUUUAAGCAUUUUAAAUAAACUAUGAAAACUUUUUUUUUGCAUAUGACCUUAUAAAAUAUGUAAGAAUAAUUUGUCAUAUUAUAAAUUUUGAAUUAUUUUUGAAUUUGUAAAAGGUUAAAAAGUUUGGAUGACAGUAAAAAAAAAUCUUUUGAGUUAUAUAUAGAAUUGCACUUAUCUAUACAUCACAAUUUCCAUAUAUGGACACCGAUGAAUAUAAUAAAAUGGUACGCAAUUUUCAUAUAUUAAUGCCUAUGAAUUUAAUAAAAUGGUAAAAUCUUAAUAAAUUUAUUUUCUGGGUCACAAGUAUAAAAAUUAAAGUUGUAUUAACAUAGAAUAAUCUUUGAAAAUUAUAGUAAAAUUACCCAUAUGUUAAGUUUUGUGACUUUCAAACAUACUUUGUAUCAUUUACAUUAUGGAUUUGUAUCCAUAUGUUUUCUAUCAAACUCUUUUUUUAUUGGCAAAUGGUAAGUAAAUUAUUAUAAAAGGGCAUUUUAUAAUAAUCAUAAUUUUUAAUAGAUGAAUUUUAUGUAAACUGUUAAAAUUAUGAAUUCACAAACGACUAAAUCUGACUACUUUAUGACACAUAUUAGUCUAAAUGACUAAAAAAUUACUGUAAUCAUGUACACGUUGAUUGUUGAAUUGAAAUUUCUUUUAUUACUAGUACAAGUUCUUCUAAUCAAAGCAAAAUAAAAUCAAAUAUCUUUUCCUUUUGUAUGCAAUAGUUAUGCUUAAUAGAAAAUUAUUAAACCAUUUUUACAGUACAUAAUUUCUCCUAAAAUUUGUAACAUUUACCAUGACCUCUAACCUUGACAUUGUUAUUUAAUUUACCUUCUAAAUUUAAUUUAAUUUUCUUAUAUUAAUUGUUAUACUAAAUUUAUAAUUUUUGUUAUUAUAUUAUUUCUCAUUUUGUUUAGGCUUUUACUCUUAUUAUUUCUUGUGUCUCAGAUGUAAAUUUAUUAAAACUUUAUCAUCUUAUUAUAUUCAUAGGUGUUAAUUUAUAAAAAUUUUGAUAUAUAAACAAGUAAUAUUCUAUAUAUAACUAGGAAGAUUUGUUGUUAUUAUUAUCCAAACUUUCAAACUUUUCAAAAAUUGAAAAUAAUUAAAAACUUAUAAUACGACAAAAUUUUAUUACAUAUUUUACGAGAUUAUGUGAAAAGUCAAACUUUUUUCCAUAGUAUUUUAAAAUAUGUAAAUAAAUUUUUUUAAAUGUUAACUAUAAUCUUGUAUUAUACAGGUAUAUUAUGAGUACUUACUAACUAAGGUACUAAAAAUUAAUCAUUAAUAAAACAUCUUAUCGUUAUUUCAAAUAAAUUCCCUAACACUAGUUUGAAAUAUGUUUUAAAGUAAAAUAGUACAUGUGUCUCAUAAAUCAGUAAAUUUUGAUUAUUAAUCAAUUUUACCAUGUUAUCAGUAAGAAUUACUAUUUAUGUAUUAAAACUUACUAUUACAUGAAUUAAACUUACACUAUAAAAAGUAAGUUUGGGAUAUAAAGUAGUAAUUUAUUUAUUUAAAAAGUAAGUUUAAUAUUUAUUCCAAUUUACAUUUUGAAGUAUAAAAGUUACUAAUUUAUUACUGUUAACUUACUAUUUUAGAUGGAAAACUUACUUUCUUAUUUUUAAGUGUUAUCCUAUUUAGGUGGAUAGGCCUAUCAAAUAAUCAAAUGGCCGCUAAAAGUAAAUAAAAAAUAAAUCGAAAAUGGUCAUAUAAGUGUUAUCCUAUUUAUGUUUCAAAAAGUAAAUCGAAAUAAAAAUGAAAGUUACUUUUUUUAAAAAUUAAAUUACUACUCUACAUUCGAAACUUAGUUUUGUGGGGAGUAAGUUUAGUUCAAGUAAUAGUAAGUUUUUAUAGAUUAAUAGUAAAUCUUGUUGAAAGAAUAAUAAUUUGGUUAAUCAUCAAAACUUACUAGUUUGUGGCAUAAAUUUACUAUAUUACUUAAAGAAACUUAUAUGAAACAAGUAUUAAGAAGUUUAUUUAAACUAGUGCUAAGAUUUUUUUAUUAAUGGUUGAAACUUAAUAUUAUAGUUAGUAGUUGUUGGUAACAUAAAUGUAUAAUAAUGAUUGUAUGUUUCAUUCAUAAAUGUUUUGCGUUUUAAGCAUUUUAAUAAAUGUAUGCAUCAUUUAUAAAUGUUAUGUGUUUUAAUAAAUUUAUUUUCUAGGUCACAAGUAUAAAAGGUAAAGUGAUCGUAUCUAAUGUAGCGUAAUCUUUUAAAAUUAUAGUAAAUUUACCCAUAUAUUAAGUUUCGUGAGUUUCAAAUAUAUUUCGUAUCAUUCACAAUAUGGAUUUACAUGCACAUUUUUUAUGAAACUUGCUUUUAAUUGGCAAAUAGUAUGUAAAUUAUUAUAAAAUGUCAUUUUAUGAUAAUCAUAAUUUUUAUAGGUGAAUGGAAUAGGUGCAAGAUCUUGAUACUGUACUACAACACAAAUUUGGGGAUAAGUACAAGUUUCAGGCAUCGUCAUUUGAAUUUGACGAAUCUCCUAACAUUCCUAAACAACCGAAUGGGUAACUUUCAUUAAUGACGUUUUAAAGCCUAAAAAACCGUGUGCUGAGUAUUGUAUAACAUGAGUAUUUGAGUUGCUUUUCGAGUUCUGCUCAUCAAGUAAGCCAGUCCAAUUUGAAGUAAACAGCAAAAUCUACAUGCACAAGACAUUUGAUAUGAAAUUGGUAUUUCAAAAUAGGAGAAAACGGCUCAUUUUGAGCAUCAGAAUGAAUCUAACUUUUAAUAAUUGAUACUUACGCAUCAAAAUUAAGCUGGCAGGACACUAGAUAUAGCUAUCUAAGCAUGACAAGAUUACAUGGCCAAGAACUGAAUUUAGAGCACAAAGACUUUGGCUUCAGAAAUCUGAAGCAAUCAAAAGGCUAGUAACUUGAUUUGAGAAUUUGAUCACCAGCAUCAAGGGCUCUGAUAUCACUAUCAAAAGCUUCAGUUUGGAUUGACAUUUCUGGUUUACAAACCCAAGAGCACUUGGAUGCUAACAAUAUCUGAAAUUUGAUCACCAAACUUUUUUCCAAGCAAGCUGAAAUUAUUCACAUUAAAACAAGUAAACACCAGAAAUUGCAAACUAAGGAGAUUAUGUUCAGAUUUACAAUCAAAACGCAUUAAACUACCUUCGAAGAAACUUAAAUCAUCCUAAAAGCUUUGAGCAAAGACGUGCAAAAACAUUUGUACUCUCUCAAGAAUAAAAUUCCUUAAUGGUCUUGGCUGAAAUCUGGUUCAUUCACUACAAAACCAUCACAAGAUUUGUAUUAAAAAAAGGCCACAACAACACAUAAUCAUAGCAAAUAAAUAACAUAAAACUUAGGCGUGAAGAAGGAAAAAUGUACCUGAAUACUUUUCAUCUCCUAACAAGCUAGUGUUUUGUACAUGACUUUGGAUUAAUGAAGGAUUGCAUGCCCACAUUAAUGCCUAUACAAAUGCAAAUAGAGCACCAUUAUAUUUCAUGCCUUCACACAAAAAUAAAUAAAAGCAAGCUAUACAUUACCUGACCAGGAGGAAUGAUCUGAAACCAAUUACUAUCCAUUAAUUCCUUAUUGCAUCCAUGCUGUGAAUCUGAUUGCAAUAGGCCAUCGGAUGAUCCUAUCAGAUUCAAAUUUACAUUCUCAACAUUAUUGGGUGCCCCAACAUGAUCAUAAUUGUGAGUUUCAUAUGCAUCUGUGCACACUUUAGUACAUUUUCGUCUAUCAUGUCCAAAUGACCUGCGGGAAAAAAAUUGCCAAGCACAAUCCAUAAACAAUAAGAUUGAAUUUAUAAAGGCGUAUAUGAAGUGUACAUAUAUAACUAACAUUUUUGGCCUUCUAACAUAAAGCCAAUGAGUGGAUGAAAUUUAGCAUUGCUCAUUCAUAUCUGGUUUUGCAAAGCUAUUCUAACCGUAGAAUAAGUCAAUUUUAAGAGUAGGUGAUUACUUGCAAUUUUUGCAUCGUCUUCGCUUUCGCUUGUGAGUGGACUGUUUUGCCUUUUGUCCCUUUGUAGCAACAACAAUUGGACCAAGAGAAAGUAUGGACCAAAGUGGAAACCUUUGCCUGGGAAUUCAAUCGUAUCGUUGGAAUUGAGAACUAAAUAAGAAGAAGACAGAUGACUUUAAAGAGAUAGGUGAUACCCGAAAGUGUUUCAGGAACCCAAAACCGUUUUCAGCAACCCAAAAUCAUUUUUAGAAACCCGGUGAUUUUUUCACUUAAAUAUGUAAAUUUUUUACUUUUAGUAUUAGUAAGUUUAGUUUAAACAUAAGUAAAUUUUGUCAAAUAAUAAGUAAAUUAAAUUACUCAAAGUGUAAAUUUCUAUUUCUGACUAAAACUUAUCUUUCAGGCAUAUACUUACUAGUUUGAAUUAAAAACUUACUUAUCUUCUCGACUUGGCAACCCGUUUCUUUUCUAGGUAUUUUAUGAUUAGAACUCCAUUCUCUCUAUAUUACAAACCAUCAUCAAACUAAUUGAAAACCUCAAUUCUCAUAUAAACCAUUCAUCUGAAUUUUGUUCCAAUCAACCCAUUCAACAGAUUUAUGUUCCAGUCUAAUCGUUAUGAUAUAGCAAUGGCAUUAACAAGCUAUUUUGACUCUCCCGGUAAGGGUUUACGUAUUAGUAAUUUUUUAGGAGGAAGAUGAGUUAUUCACAUGUCCAAAAUAUCGAAACAACCAGCAUAAUCUAAUCCUUAGUUCAAUGAAAGUCACAAAUUUGCGGGUAGGUAGAUUAGAUUAUGUUGAAUGCCUUUGGCUCUUUACAAUGAAAUUCAAAAUUUUUUCUCAUGACAGAGCAAAGACGGUGAUAUAAUUGAUUGUGUCUAUAUGUAUCAACAACCAGCAUUUGACAAUCCUUUGCUCAAAGACCACUGGAUUCCGCAGGUUUGCCCCAUGCAACACCAUUCAAAAGAAAAAUAAACAAAAAAAUGCAAAAAUAUGAAGUAUGUAUAACACCAUAAUUGAUUGAUGGUCGGAAACUGUUCUAUGAAUUUUCUCUCCUUUCCUGACUGAAGAAGAGGGAAGAUGUGAUUCUACAAAAUCUACAUGUAUCAUAGGAUGGUAAUAAGAAUUGCUUCUGCAACACAGAUUUACAAGAGUAAUAAUGGCCAAAUUUCCGUGGCAUUGCAGACGUUACAAUGGAGUAAAAAAUUCAAGAGGCUGAUAAUAAAUUUCCAUAGAAACAACAGAUUCGCAACAAUGAUUCUAGAUCAGUUCAGUUCAAUAACAUAUGCUCCAUCAAGCGUAUCAACUUAGAAUUCCAAAACGGGAGAAACCUCUCUUGCCUGAAGAAUUCAAGUUAUAAAGCUCAUGUUGAGUUACUAAUAUAUUAGUAAUUCUCACCCGCACAGAGUAGCAAUCAACAUACAAAUUUCUCUUUGACAUUUCACCAAACAUCUUAUAUGCAUUCACAAAUUAAUCACAUUUAACUUAAACGCCUGGUCUCAAGUCCUUUCCUAGAUGUUUCACAUGGCUAUUAAACAUAUUUUACCCGUAGACAAUCAAAACUACAACCAUUUCCUAGAUGUUUCAACGGACAUUUUCGGCCCCAAAAUUGCAAUAAAAUCUUCAAAUUCUCAGCCUUGAUUUCCCAAAAAAAUCUUGACAAACAAAACAAAUGAAAUAUAAAUAAAUUACAGCAAUAUAAUCAAACGAUUUCAAGAGAACAUGAUGAUCUAACCUCGUCACUGCUAUUUUUCAUAUGCUCUUUGGCUGGCUACCACCGUCGCUAACCCUUUUGUUGUGUUUGCAUAUGGCAGCACUCAAACCCAACCGAACGAUGAGAAAGGAUAGAAGCAAAGUGUGAACUAAAGAUGAAAAUUUUGAAGUGAGAAGAUUUAUUCAAUUGUAACAAAGAGAAAGUGUGGAUCAAAGUGGAAACCUUUGCCUGGGAAUUCAAUCGUAUCAUUGGAACUGGGAACUGAAUAAGAAGAAGGUAGAUAACUUUAAAGAGAAAGGUGAUACCCAAAACCGUUUUCAGGAACCCAAAACCGUUUUUUUACUUAAAUAUGUACAUUUUUUACUUUCAGUAUUGGUAAGUUUAAUUUAAACAUAAGUAAAUUUUGUCAAAUAAUAAGUAAAUUAAAUUACUCAAAGUGUAAAUUUCUAUUUCUGACUAAAUCUUAUCUUUCAGGCAUAUACUUACUAGUUUUAAUUAAAAACUUACUAAAGUUAAUAUUAAUUAUUUUAAUAUAAUAUUUAAAAAGUCACUAAAAGAUUUGAUCUGUCACUAAAGGUAAUAGAAACCUAUAAUAGCAGAUUUCCCUAAUAUUGUUACCAUAACUAUAGGCACUGUAGCACUGUCCAAUAAACAGAUAACAGUGUAGUAGUUCCUCAAGUGUACCAGUGAAGCACAUCACUAGAAAAGGCAUCCGGGAAGAAGUGCAAAAUCGCUGGAUCUGCUGCUACGAAUGGUGCCCUAUCGCAAUUUUUGUUCAAAGUAGAGGACGAGGACAGACUCUUCAUCAUUUCUGGAUUCCCAGAAGCCCCGAGACGCUGCUAACAUUUGCUCAUGCUCGAUGCGAAUCAAAUUCCUCUAGACAGUGACAGUGAAACAAAAACAGCAGUAUCCUAUCGCAUUGGUGCCCCAUUUCACUCUUUCUGCUAUCCUAUUAAAAAGGUAAUCCAUAUGCACAAAAUUUAGGCAUAGAGUACGCUGAUUAUAUUAGCAGCAUGAGAUGAGCUUUGUCAAUAAAUGAUUGAGGUUCCACAUGGGAUAUUAAAACAGACCAAGCUUUUAAAUCCCAUAGAUUUCAAAUAGCAGAAAUGCGAACAUUUACAAAUUACAGACCGAAAAGCACACCGAAAGCCGAAUGUCUGACUGAGUAUAAUAUAGUAGUAAGUAUCAGACUCCUCAUGAAACUUUCAGCUGAUAAUGAUCAACAAGAACAGGGGCCAAAGGCCUUACGACCAAAAUUGGAGUUAUUGUGCAUUUUAUCAGAGGACGUGUUUCCUUAAACGGACUUGCAGUUGAAACUCCGCGGCCUUAGCAGGUCUGCAUCCUGUUAAGAGGUUUAACUACAUUUGCCAAAAGCAUAACACGGGGAGGCCAAAAUCUCAAUAAUCUUGAAACUAUCAUUGUUGGUGCAGGGACUAGGGGAAGAACAAACUCUGGCCCUAGAACAGCAUAAGAGUGACUCUCUCUCUCUCCCUAUAAUUUGUCCAGCCAACUAAAAACACUGUCUUGAGAACCAAAAUUCAGAUCCUGCACAUGUAGACCCAAGAUGAUUUUCAGUUUAUUUAAGAUAGAGAUCCAGAAGACUUGUCACAGAGUAAACAAAGAGCUUACCCCAAGCUGAAAGUCCGGUGGAGAAUCCAGUUCCAAGUUCUCAAGUUCAGCUAUUCCACAGGCAGAGCUCCCAACAACUUGUGGCACAUCAUUUGUAUUGCGAGUAAGACCGCCGAAAGGCCCACCAUCAAGUCCAAAAUCACCGGAAAGGAUCGAUGAAUCAAUAAUCUCAUUGCAUAAGAGCAGCUCAUCCACACCAUUUACGUCAGCAGCCUGGGAUUCUCCAGCCAACCAAGUGUUGUGUUCUGUCUUAUCUUUUACUUGAGCAUCAGACGAAGAAGAAUUCAAUGCUUCUUUGACAAAGCCCAUCUCCUAAUUCAUGUUAUAGCAACUAGAAUGAGAACUAAGUUCUCAAGUUGAUAGUAUAAACUAAACCCAUGAGAUACUUGUUCCUAAACAUUCACAGCAUUCAGACAAAGAUAACAUGAUCGAUAAGAUUAUCCUGUACUAUACGCCUUUUAUGCCACAUUAGCAAACAAUUACUUUCUGGAAAAAUCUUGAGAAUGUCAAAGUGAAGAAACGUACUACUUUAGCUGUACAGUACAGCAUUGGUCUAUUCUUAUAUUUGCUCACCCUACUGAUUAACAUGAUAAAAAGCACCAAAAAAAAAAAAGAGUAACCAGUUGCUCAAGCAUUACUUUUGUUUUUCGUAUAAUACCAUUCAGUCUUAAGUAACUACACAAUCUAAGACAUUAUUUAGCAAGGCAGAAAAACAUAUUUACUCAAAGUUACUUCAAACCUGAAAAGAUGGUUGCAUUGAAUAAUCAUCUGUGGCAUCAUCAAAGGAAGGGGUUUCACCAGGACGAGGUGGGUCAGGAGCAACUAUCUUAGGAGUCCUGGGACUGGUUCGAGACGUCCCAAUAUCAUAAUCCAAAAUUGAUGGAGAACCAUCAUAAGCAUUAUGUUUAUCACUUUGCUCGGUUGUUAAUAAAGCAUCAUGGUUAUCACUCUGCUCAAUUUUUAUGGAAGUAUCAUUAUUAUCCACUUGCUUGUGCUGCUGAUAGAAAAUCUUGGAAACCACAUAUUGUCCUUCUUUUUCAUCUUCAUCACUUCCUAGAUGAUACUGAUGCAUAACCCAUUUAGACUUAUCAGGUUUGGAACCUUUUUGAAGUUCGGUAGAGAACCAUUAUCUUCUUACAUCCUUUUUGGAUCCCAUUGUCCAUAACAGUUUUGGUUUUACCAGUCUUAUGCCAGCGGACUUGCUCGUUUAUCAAGCUAUUUUCGAUAUGAAUUUUACGACGCUUCCGCUGGCCAGUUGCAUAUGCAUUUGUAGUACGGUAGAAGAAGUGGACAGUGCUUCCGUCUUUCUUAGCACCUGAAAAGAAGUUAAGAUGAUAAUUUAGAGACGUAGCCACAAGACUAAAUGAACCCAAUAGAAUUGGUCUACUCGUGGUUGAUGCUCAACAUGAUAAAAAAUUUUGUACUAAUAACACAUUCAAUCGAGUGAAUAGGAGCUAUCAGAUUGACUGAAAAUGAUGAUAACUGCAGGCAAUAAAAAGAAAGAAAACGUAAUUGAAAUAAAAUAGUUUGUCAGUAGCAUUAAAAUUGGUCACACCAAAAACACGAUUACAUUAAAGUACAUCUAACAGCAUGACAAUUAUGAUUAUUCCCAGUUUCAAGUAGAGAAGUAUUCACAGCAACAUGAUCAUGCAAUUUUCUCACAAGGUUAAUUCCUAUUGUGGACAACACAAAUGAGACAAACUUAAGUCAAAUUCUCCAGCAAUGGCAUCAAAUUGCUGUUGCUUCAAAGUUUUAAUGGGUAUCAUCAGUGCACAUCCAAAGCAGAAGAGUAUACAUUUUCCACAGUAGUUUUUGGUUCAAAUCCUUCUCAGAAAUCAAAGUGCUAAUGCUAUCACAAAAUAAAAGAGAAAUAGCAUUCAUCUUUAAUUAAUGGGAGUUUGUUCACCUGGAAGAUUUUCAGGAUGAGUAUAACAUAUUCCUUCAUCACCCUCAAGUGUUGGAAUGAACUCAUCAAUGAACUUGUGGGACUCCGAGUUUCCUACCCCACAUUUUGCUGCCAAGUGUUCUAAUAACUCUGCAUCAGAUGGGUCAAACUUUACACCAGCAGGCAAGCCAGGCCAUUCAUGACAAAUCUGAGAGACCAGGCAUUAUAAGAAGUACAUCAAGAGCAUGCUUCCAAUAUAUAUGUCAACCUCACUUUUAAAGAAUAAAAGAAGGCUGUCAAGUCUAAAAUGCAAUUAAGUCUACUUGUAUAUGGACGCUCAGCACAAAUACUGCAUCUCAAGAAAGACAUUUUUGUGAAGAAUAAUUAGCACACAAGAAAAUAAGCUACUAGAAAGUGCAUUGAAGGAAAAAAAAAAAGCUUACAUCACUGUUAUCAAUUAUAUAGUGACACUUUGGGCAUUCACGAUUUGCUCCACAAUCUUUGAUUUGAUGUGCAGUGGGCAGAACGGCAUUUUUCACCUUUGUUGCAAGUCCUCUGCUAUCAAUAACCCAAGACCUACAUCAAUCAGUUUGAGUUAGACUAAGUUGGAAAACAAUAGACAGAAUUCUAUUUGCCCAGAGAAGUAAAAGUAGAGAGGGUGCAGAACAAUAAAAGCAGCAAUAGCAGAGCAACCAUGAAAUUUGUCCCCACCCCAACUCUGCUUGUAGGGAGGUUAGCAGAGUAUCCGUGCCCAACUCUCUAGCCCUCCCAUUUAAUCUUACCCAUUGUUAGGCUUAGAGUCUCCCUUGAAUCGAAAAUCCAAAAAGAUACAGAGAUACCAAUGUAGAUCGUCUGAUUGGAAAAAAACCACUUUCAUGCUAGUUAAGAAACGGACAGUGAACAAAUUGAGGAAUGAAAGCAGAACUGAAAUACCGAAUAUGCAUGAGUACAUUGUAGAAGUUCUACAGGGGAAAUGGCAAAUUCUUUGAUAUCUAAUCUGCGAUGCAUUGCCUGGCCAGACUCGACUAACAAAUGAUUGCCUUAUCUAAUGGUUUCUUUAUAUUACUGAAGAAUAUCGUAGAAGGUACUUGAAUGCUUCUAGUAACCUAUCAAACACAUUAUAAACCAAUCGAAAACUAGGCAUGCGACCUAAAAUUAACCGGUACAUCCAAGCAACGUUGAUAUGGAUAAAAUAUUGUCCCUUGUUAUAAAAUUGAUAAAAAUCCACCACCGGCCAACAAACCAGCUCCUUUUUUUUUUUUUUAUCAUUCUCAGUGUACCGGAAAUGUAGCUGAAUCAAACCAAAAUCCUCACAAUCCGGUGGUGGUCUAGCUGACAUCUCUGGCUAUCGUCGACAUGUACUAAAGAUCUUAAUCCAUCGUCAGAUAAUGAAAAUUCUCUCAACCCCAAGUUGGCUAACCCACAAAAUAAAACACAUUGGAAUAAAAUCACAUCCGACUAUCAGACGAACAUCAAUAUCUCAGCUUGUCACACAACCUUUCCCAAACAACACAUUAAUGACUAAAAUAGAUAACACAGAACCCCGGUAAACAAAAGAUCACAGCUUUCAGUACAUUCUAUCUGAAACGUCUCCCGUGGCUUCGGACCACACCCAAUGAUGAAAAUCAAUUCAGGAGACUUUAAUAGAAAACCUUUUUCAUUUAUUUAAAAAAAAAAGAAAAUAAACCCCUUUUUUCUAAUGUAAAUUUUGAUACCGCUAUGGUAGUAAUAGAUACAGGGGAGGUGUUUGUGUGAUUUUUUGUUUACCUUGCCAUGGCGUUCAACCGAUACUACGACACAGAGAAUAAGUUGGAGGAAAUAAACGGGCGAUAGCUGAGAAGCAGCAGCUGAGCUGACUGCCUUUUGUGCCUCUCGCGUAGUUUCACAACACACUCUCUCCACUCGGCUAAGUAACUCUAGUCUCAUCACAAGAGAGGAGACUAGAGGAGAUUAUUGAGAGCGGUGUGGAAGAGCGGGAAAACUUAGUCGCGGGAGGCUUGGAAUCCGAACCUGUAGGUCCGGUUUAGAAUCUCGCUGUUCACCAAUGCUUCGAGCGAUUAGUAGUUUUUUCCCUUACUUUUAGUUUAGGUAUAAUAUCAGAAGCUUGCUUUGAAAUUUCUUCUAAUAUCACUUAACACUUUUAAAAUUUUAAAAAUAUCAUUUACCUCCUCUAAUAAUUGUAAAAAGAUUAUAUUAACCCUCGCUUAAUACAUAAUUUAUAUAUCAAAUAAAUAAAUUUAAAAAAUUAAAAGAAGAAUAAGAAAUGAAAGUCAUUUUCUUCUUUUUCUCUUUUCCCCAAUAUUCUCUCUUAUUCAUUUUUUAGAUGAUUAUACAAUAUUUUAUUUGUAAAUUAUAAUAACUUUAAUUUUAUUUAUCAUUUACUUCUUGUGAUUGUGAAAGAAUGGGACAUGAUUUAUUUACUUAUUUUAAAUUUAUUUUUAUAAUGAUCAGUACAAUUUAAAAGAUUUAGGCACGAGUUGAGAAGAAGUUGAAAAAAAUAAAAUUUAUAAGAACUCGAUUUUGAGUAUAUAAAGUUCAAUUGAUGCAAAUGUAUUUCUGUGUAAAUAUCUUUUUUUAUUUUUCAAAUUUAUAAUUUAUGGAUUAUAGCAUUAUGAUAUGACAAUAUUACUAGAGAUUAUUUUUUAAGUGAUAAUUUUUUUGAAGUAAAAUAAGGUGAUGUACGAAUAUUUUCAUUUAGUAUUAAGAAGGUAGUUUAACACUUUUAAAAAUUUUAUUACAUAAAUAACAAAAAUAAAUGAAGUAAAUGAUAUUUUAAAAACUUUCCGGGUACUAAUUGAUGAAACAGAGAGAAACCGCCCUUUAAUUUAUAUGGCCCACCCCGUUGACGAAACCAGACUCCGAGGCUGGGGUUCGGACACGGGCUGCCUCAGCAAGUGGGAAGUUUGCGAGGGAAAAAAGUGGGAAGUUGCCUCGGUAGACGAUAUUUUAAGUAUCAGCAGUAUCAAACGGUAAAUUUGGCGGGCCCUCUAAUCUUGCUCUCCAAGUUAUAUUUAUGGAAACGUUUACUCGUACAUAUGUAAUGCAUUACGCAUGUAUAUUCAUUUCUGUUAUGGUCAUAGGAAUCUGUUUGACGCUGAAUUCACCUUUUCGUACAGUCGCUUUCAAUCUACACUCUCGAGUGAAGUGAGGGGCAAACCACCAGCCAACGGCUCAGUGGCCAUCAGGGAGGGAGGGACUUAAGUCUCUUUUUGGGUUGUCGGUAAGGUUUGAACUCUUACCAGCAGUGAAAAAAAUCUAAGAGUUGUGUCAUAAUACUCCUUUGAUAUAAUUGGAUUUGUAUACUCACUAGCCCUUACAACAGCCUCCUUAGGCUCCCUCCCUUAAAUUAGGAUAGAGUAAGUUAUACAAAUGUAUCGUUGCUGAUAAAGAAAAAGGGUGAAAUGAGAGGCAAAGUGGGAAAAGAGCUCCAUUUAUUAUUUUAUUAUUUUAGCUGAUGAAGUGAUGGAGAGUGGAUGCCGGAAAUUUCUUGCAAUGAAUAGAUGCGAGUGAUGAUGGAUAAUUGAUUAGUGUAAGCUGUAACUGGAUUUUUAUUUUUUUUUUGUGAAUUAUCAUCAAUUACUCUUACUCUUAAUCUAACUUAUUCUAACGGGUAACCCGCUAUAACUGAAUUAUUCUGCUAAUCUUCUAUAUAUAAACUGGGAGUCGGAUUGUGAGAGUCUGCCGAAGAAAGCAGGAGGGGACUUCCGUCCGCUUACGUGGAAGCUGGCUGUCUGUUACUACAUUGGUUCGUUUUGUCACGAUUUUACGCGUCAUUUUAGUCACUGGCCGAAACCAUCAACCUGUCGUUGUAGUAUAGUGGUGAGUAUUCCCGCCUGUCACGCGGGUGACCCGGGUUCGAUCCCCGGCAACGGCGUCUUUUUGUUUUUUUAAACCCCUGACUCAGCUCCGCUCUGGAAGGCCAUUUCAUUUUCUCGGAUUGUUGGCGAAGGCCAUUUCAUAAACGCUACUCUCCGUAAAUCCUCUCCUUCCAUAAGCAUUGUAUCGUAACAGUGUAGUGGUUGUAAUGAGCAGCUGCUACCACCAUUUACAUUACGCUGUUUCAAGUCUUUAACGCUCCUUCACUAUCCCGAACGAAGACGGUCCCCAAAAACCAAAAAAAUAAAAUAAAAUCACAAAGAAAAAUAAUAAUGAAUGGCAACUUCAAAAUGCAAUCAAUUUUGUUGAAAAUCUUUUAGCAUCCUGGAUACUUUGUUUACAAGAACAGGUUCGACAUUCAUUUACAAAAGUUGCCGUAAAAUAGUUUAGGACUAUGAUAGGAUGGAGAAAGCAGCACUAGAAAAUCCAAUAGGCAGCAGCUGAUGGCGAGGCUCAAGUUCCCGGUAGCUAAAAAACCUCUUUGGAAGCUGCCCUCCUGCCUGCAUGGAUUGUAUUGCAACCCAAUUUUAUAGUGUCAUAUUGUAGUUCAUAUAUAAAAUAAUGGAGGUAGAGGCCUUUGGAUGACCUUAUUUUACAACCACAUCACAUCACAUCACAUCACAGCGACCCCGACUCCAUAUCUAGAAGAAGCAUUCAGCAUUUUAGUCAGAACCAAUCAAUAAUAAUAUGUUAAAAGGGGUAUGUUGUCAUGCACCUUCGGCAGCAACAUUAAACUUACAUGGCAAGUCUACCUAGCAUCUAAACUAGUUUUGAGUCAAACUGGCAUAAUCUGUGAAUAUAUGCUAUUUAACAUUUGUGGCUACAAGUUCACCUCGGCUUUUCCGGUCGAUGGGAUAGUUGAAGCCUUUGUACUGCUUCAAACCAAAACGUCACCAUCUCCCAAAAUUAGCAGCACUGGUCAAAACAGAAGAACAAACCUCUUGGCUUGCCAUCCAUCGCGGUCUUUGGGGUUUCUCCAGCGUCGUCCCUUUUUGCCAUCAAGGAGCUAGUGCCUGGAGACUCUGGUGGCAAGAUAGCAUUCUCAGAAGUGAAAAUCCGGGCUGGUAUGACAGGUUCUGGUGGUGAAAUUGUUGACAGAUAAUGCAGAAGCAUUUGUAUUAUUUGAGUGAAGUUAGGCCGGGCAUUGGGAUCCUCUUCCCAACAUGAAGUCACAAUUGAAGGCAAAUCCCCGGAAGAUCAUCAGCACUUGGCCUCACAUUCUGAAACCAGAUGUCCAAAUGGAUUUUAUCCAACAUUUCGGCGUGCACACAAAAUUUUCGAUCUUAAUAUUUCCCCAUUAACAGGUUUCGGGCGAACAACAAACAUAUAAACGAGAGAGCAUCUUAAUUGCUAAAUGCAGCACAUGCCAAUUUCUAACCCUCUUCCCUGUACUGUUAUGCAUUCAAUUCUGAAACUACUGCCUCCUUUAAAACAACUCGCUACAAUUUCAGUAUUAAUCAGUGGCUUUUGGCAGUAGUGUUAUAUUAAAUGGUACUAGCAUAUGCUUCAAUUCAGUAGUUAACAAUUUCCCACAUAAAGAUCCAAAGCUUCCUCGUCAGUCUCAUAUAUAGCAAAUUUAGCAAAACAGGUAUCAAGUUUCUAUGGUGUCAGCAAACAAAUUGCCCUCUAAAAUCUUAAAGGAAUUCAAUAAUUACAUAGAAGUGCAAUGUUUCCAAGCUUAUUUUAACUCUUGGCCAAAGAUGAGGAAGUGAUUAAGUUUGAUUCAUAUCAAUAUCUCUUGACGUGGCAAUCGGCAAAAACUAUGAGACUGAAUUUCUCUCCCUCUCCCUUGUCCCAAAGGAAGUAACAGCUAAAACAAAAAUCAAAUCAAAUCAAAUAAAGAAGACAUAGUAAGUACUGAAAACUUUGGUUUAAUGUCAAUGAUCUUUGAUCUCCCCUUAGGUCUCUCAUAAUUACAAGUACUCUCUGUUGUUUCUGAAAUUACAAGAACCUUCCUUAUGAGCUAUUAUGGCAAAUGAAAUCUGCCCUUAUAUAUAAAUUUUUUAUACUAACUACCCUGGUUGCGUCGUCUAAGAAUUGCAAAUAAUUGUUUUUUACUGUCAACAGCUUCUAAUAAUGUCGCAAACAGGAAGCAUAUACACAUAACAUGAAAUAGAACUACAGUGAAUUUUGAUGUAAUUCAGAACAGAAGAAACAAGAGGUUGCGAUUGAUAUGAUAAAUCUCAAGGAGUGUGUAACUUCCAAAAUGUUAAAACAAGAAUUACCUUGAAAGCUGCAGCAUAAGCUGCCUGCAGAUUUGACAUUCCUUCGAAUGGCAACUUGUUGAGGAUAAGUUCCCAAAGCACAAUUGCACAAAACUAUAAGCAUCCACCUUGUGGUUAUAAUGCUUUUUCUCUCCAUGCCUCAAUGUGACUGUGCUGUAAAGCUAUAAUUCAAAAAGAAAAAGAGACUGUAAUUCAUCUUACAUGCUGCCUAAUUAAAGAUGAAAAUUUAAAAAAGCAAAAAAUAAAAAUAAAUAAAUGACUAUAGACAAAUAAAAAGGAAUAGAAGUAAAAGCUUAAUGGUCCAUCCAAAUACCUCUGGAGCCAUCCAGCGAUAAGUUCCAGUCUCAGCAGUCAUCAUCUCUGUCAAUGACUCCUCUCUUGCCAAGCCAAAAUCAGCCAGUUUAACAGUUUUACGAUCCGCUGUCAGGAGCAAGUUUUCUGGACAGCAGACAACCAGAUUAUCAAGCUUUUUCUCAAAUAGUUUCAUAUGAGCAUGCAAAAUUAAUGAGAAAGCAAUCAAGAAAGAUAAAGAGAAGGCGGCCAAGAAACCGGCUGUAAGAUGUAAAUCAACAUAUUUGUCUCUAACAAUAUAUCCCUCGAUAGCAAAGAUAUAAAACGAUGAAACUCUCAAGAUAAUUUGUCAUUUUGGAACACUUUCAACAUUUUCACCUGUACAAGACUAGGUUGAACACAUAAGAAAAUAUGCAUGAUUACCAUUUGGUCCAUUACUCAUAGACCCAAAAGAAAAAUGUCCAACAGUGAGAUAGAAUGUUGAACUAAUAGUAGCGUCCUAAUUCUUCUAACUCAGAAAGUUUAGCACCUUUAGUGGAAACACUUCAAUGAGGUAGAGUACAAUUUGAUAGACAGGAUAGAGUAUAAUAUUUGUUCUUCACAGCCUGCACACCAAAUCCUUAAUUACCCAAACCCACCUAUGAUAUGAGGAUGUCAGCAGAACUCAACCCUGACCCUUACCUUCAAUUUGACAAAAUGGACAAAGAUCUUCAGAUGGCAUGAAUGAAUCAAUGUUUGGAGACAUGCUCCAAGCAUCCUCCAUUAAGGAAAGAGUUGCGACAGUGAGGACAGACAGUCAUCCUAGUGGCAGACGACUUUGAAGAGCCAAAACUGAACUGAUUAGUUUCCCUCAACAAACCAUAAAAGCAGAAUAAAGUCCUCAAAGUAUAAUAUGUCCCCACCACUCAUCAAAUUGCAUAAACAGAUUCUCAUGUUGAGCUUCUCAAUUAGCAGGAAUCCUCGAACAAAACCUAAUGCUGAUCAUUCAAUGUGAUUCUAGCCAUUGAAGCUUAUGCUAGCACUUUUUACCCAAAUGACAAAUCAUUCUAUGUGCAUCAGAAAAACAGGCAAAACUGGCUAUUCAAGAAGUAGGAGGAGAUGAACUUCUAAGACAAUGGUAUGGCAAAAGAAAAUUUUAAAUAAGCAUCUACACUGGCUAAAUUUGUAUAAAAAACUCAAACUAAAGUGUAACUGAUGACUACCAGGUUUUAAAUCGCGAUGUAUGAUCCCAUGAGAGUGUAAACAUUCCAUGGCACGAGCUAUAUCAAGUGCAAACCCCAUUGCAACGCGCGUAUCCAAGCAUCUUGGGCGCAAAUCAAGCAAGUAUUUCCUUAGUGUCCCACCAAGAAGAAGUUCAGUUACAAUCACCAUGACAGGCUCUUUGCAAGCUCCAAUAAACUGUAAAGACUCAAAAUAGCACAUCAUUAGGUCGGUGUACAACUAAAAAUCAGCCAUCUAGCAGUUGAUCCAAGAUAAAUUCUUUUAAUAAGCUAAAGUUGGUAAAAUGGUAUAUGAACCUUCACUAAGUUCUUAUGUUGGACUCUAGAUAACAUGGCAACCUCUCUCGCAAAUCGGGCGUCCCUCUUGGCAAUCUCCUCUGGUGUCUCCCCUUUGUGAACUUUGAUAGCAACAUUCUGGUUUUUAUAUCUGAAAAUAUUUUUAAAAUCCGACAAAUGAGAAUGAACUACAAUCCAUCAAUGUUCAACGUUUCUCGCUAAAAAUUACUGUGAUAUAUUAGUAAAAACAAGCCCUCCCCACAGUAAAUCGUGUGAAAUCUAUCGUAUAUAGAUGUGUUUAUACCCGAAUAUUUAAUAAUAAAAAAAAAAAGGAGCAACUAUCAUCGAAACCUGGAAGAUCAAGAUUAAGUGAAUCUGAAAAGUGACUAAAGGGGAUUUUAGUGAGUAAACUUACUUUCCCUCGUAGACUUUGGCAUGAGCACCUUCUCCAAUCUUCGGACCAACAAAAAGAAGCUUCGGAUCAAUCAACCAUUUUGGGUCCAAACUGAAUUCUCCCACCGAGUAAUACCCAUCUCCCAUUUUCACCCUUUCUUAAUAUAUAUCCGAGAUUCCGGCUAAACGAACUAAAACAGCUAACUAUUACCAAUAGCAAAGAUUGAAACUUUAGAAUUGUUCACUCGUCUUGAAAGAACCCAAAUGAACAAACAUAUAAAAUCAGUACAUCACCAUAUCUGAGACAAACAUCCCAACUUCAUGCUCUGGGAUUAAUUGCAUCCAACACUAGCAAUAAUAAUCCCACGAUUAUCGACUUCAACAACUCAAAAAAAAAUCUGUCAAGAAGCAGAAAACAUCAACAAUAAUAUGUUGGGAAUGAUAAGAGUACUAAAGAAUCAGCGAAAAAAUCCUCCAAUGAGCACGGAGAAUUAAAGAAUACAGAUCAGUAGUCUUUUAGUGGCAAGAGGAGUAAGACUUUUGAGAGUUUAUUUAAGCUUUUUUUGUCACCGCGUAGUAGUAGUACUACUAUUUUUUUUCCUCUCGUGUAUUCUUGAUCUGCAAAGAUAAAGCCGCGGCGGAAAUUGAGUCUAUGUCAGAAGAGCUCUAUUAUUUUUGUCUUUUGGAAUUAUUUUAUGGAGUCCAGAAUAUGUACAGACUACAGAAACAAGAGGAAGGGAGACAAUCAAGGUUAGAAUGGGUAGAAAACAAGAUGCCGCUGAAUAAAUUUAUCAUGUCCUAAUUAUUUUGGGUCGGGGUAAUGAUACGGGGUAUUCUUACUUCGGAGUUAAACUAAAAUUAUUGUACUUGCACAUGGAAAUGGAUCCUCCACAAGGGACAGUACCGCUCCACAACUGAUAAUGACGGCCAAAUUUUUUUAUUUUUUAUUUUCUGCCUUUUUUCCAGUAAAAUACCGCUAACUAACUAACCACUCUUUUGAACUACUGCUGCUACUCCCUGUGCUGUAUAACCUUUUUUUUCUUUUGUUUUUAACUGACCCGUCAUAGUAAUUCAAUACUACAAUACUUAGGAGUAAACAGUAAUCAUAUUCGGUGGCAGUUUUCUUUUGUUGUUGGUUUGUGUUCUUAUGAGUCUUUUAAGUUUUACAAUAGUAAUAGAAUUAAUCUUCUAUAUAUUAACAGUGUAUAUACUUGCAUCAUUUAAUGAUGUAUGACGCAUAAACUGAAUUUGAAUUUAAAACUCAAAUAUUAUAUAUGUAUCGUAUAUCCAAUCAUAAUAAUAUACACAACAACAACAGUGUAUAUAAAAUAUACUCAUAAUAAUAAUAAUGUGAUUUUGGGGUUGGUUUGAAACUCUGGGUCACCGGAGUCAUUAAUUGUUAAGUGGUAGUAAUAAUCUCUGGUCUCCUAAACCGAAGCAAUUGUUUUGCAUUUUAAUUUGGGGAUAGAAUUAAUGUUUUUGGCAUUUUGUUUUGAAUUGGAAUUUUUGGUAGUCUACCAGUAUUAGUCAACAAAAGACAAUUUAUGCAUUGCAUCCGCGUCCACAAAGAGAGAGAGAGAACAGACUAUUGCUACUAACAUAAAUUAUUUAAAAUUAACUUUUUAUAUAUUGAUAGUAUGGUAAUAUUUUUUAAUAUUAAUAGCUUUAAAUGUAUGCGACAUUUGUAUGAUUUAAAAUUCAAAAAUUUCCAAUUCAUAUUAUGUGUCAUGAUUUAAACCUAUUAGUUAGUAUAAAAUUAUAUUCUAACAGCAUAUGAAAAAAAGUUAUUCAAUUACUUAAUAUAGUAUAGUAGCUUGACUUAAAUAAAAAAAGUCUGCCCUUGGCCACCGCGUUUCCGUUAUCGCUGUCUCCUCAGUCAACUUUAAUAUCCUCUCGUUUAUUGCGUUUAUGGAGGGGAGGGUCAAUUAAAUUGAUUGAACAUUCUGCUCUAAUCCGUUGCUUGCAAUUUUGCAAUUCUAUUACAAUAAUAAUAAUGUCAAUUGCCAACACCAAGUGCCAAUAAAAUCCUUCGCAUUGACCAAAUCAAACCUCCCAUUUGAAUUGAAUAUUAUCUUUUAUUAACAACAAUUAUUUAAUAGAAUAACUAAAUUGAAAGGGGAAACAAGAAAACAUAUGGACCCGUUAAAUCAGUAAGAAAUAAAUUAUUGAUGUCCAAGUCGACGCUGAAGAAAAUGCCAGAGCACUUCAAUUCUAUUGAUUGGUAUUUGUGUAUGGGUCGUCUCCUUGUUUACGAUUGCCGUAAUUUAAAAAUGUUUAUCCCAGUAAAUUUCGAUCUAUUUUCUAGUAAAUCACGGAGCAGAUCCGUUUGAAUUAGCUGUUUUUUGAGGUGUUUUUGAAAAAUUUUACAAUAACAGAGAGUUUUUAGAGUAUAUUUUGAGAUAUUUUUAGAAAAUAUUUUGAAAUAUUUAAGAGUAGUAGAGUUUUUAAAAUAUAUUUUGAGAUAUUUUUUAAAUAUUAAAAAAAAUUUAGACUACUUUUUAGAAUAUCUUUUAAAGUAUUUUUAAAAUUUGUUUAUAGUAUUUAAAAAAUUGAAGGAUCCAACUGUUUUUCUAAACCAAAUUCCGAUAUAAUUAUUUGUCCAGAUAUUCAAAUUAGAGAAGGAAAUUCCAAAUUUGAUUAUAACUACCUAAUUCAUCAAUCACCACAAGUCUUCUUUUAAUUCUUACAUUUAAUCAAAUCGAAACAUGCAAUGGAAUAUCACUACUAACUAGUAGUAAUUGUGAGCAUCACCGUGUGAAUACAAGAGAUUUAUUUAGCACGAGGAUGAUUGAUGAUGCCUUGCCGUUGCCGGUGGGCCAUUGACCCCACCUCCCUCGUUCGAGCCUUUAUUUAUAAAGUCUCAGUGGUCCAAUAAUAAAAUAAAGAGCGGAAAGAAAGGGCAAAAGUGCCAACUGAAGUCUGUCGGAUAAGGCAAUAGAGUACUACUACUUGAGUAGACCCGUACCCGGUCUACGGCCCCAUCCGUAGACCCUAUGGCCCAGAAUUUGCUGCGUCUGUAUCAACUAGUUGGUUCUCUUGUUUUUAUUUGUCCGGUGUUCGUAUCUUGAGCUCAACUCUGCUUUCUCCUCACAAAACAAACCAAAAGAGACCACUCAAUCAAUAAUGAUGACGUCCCUUCACAGACAAAAGCUUCCGUUAGCUCUUCCGGAGUCUUGAGUGGAAAGUCUAUUCUUGAGACGUAGUAAUAAUAAUCUGUCUCAUCAUGGGCCGUUCAUUGCUCCUAAUCCGAAGUCUGUUGCAGUCUUUUUCACUACUUUAGUUUAGUCGCGAAAAAACGUGUUCUUCCUGGACUGUCUUCACCGGCGGCUACUGUGCUCAUUAUGCUUUUUUUUGACUCUUUUCUUUUGAGCCUACCCUGCCCAUGCUCCAAGCAAAUGGCCUCUUCUAUUCCAACUCACAAAAUCACACGGCAGAUUCUUUCCACUCUUCUGGAGCUGGGCACAAGAUGAUUUGUCCAAGGAAGGAAAACCAAAUUUCAACGACCGGGCUUCAUUUGCUUUGAGAAAUUAAGAGCUUUAUUAUUUAUUUAUUAUUAUUCUGAAUUUCUGAUACGAAUAUUGGCUCCGGCGACGAGUUUUGAACGGAUUCAUACAACAUUUUCUUUAAGAUUUUUGGUUGAUAUUACUUGGGAACAAAUUAAAAGAAAAAAUCGGAAAUUAAGCAUCAGAGGACCUCACUCAUCUCUUUCAUGGACUUUGGUGAAGGAAGCCAAAAGAAGGAUUUCUGAGUAUUGAAUUCCGAUGGAUCGUGUGGUGAAUUGGGGUCCGCUAGUGGGGUCGUACACCUAACUUACCCAAGUUUUUGCUGUUGUAUAAUAAUCUCCUUCCAUUUUAUUAUUAUUAUUAUUAUUUUUUGGGUAAAAUUGUGGGGACGAAGCUUGUGACGGAAGUCGGUGGGUUGGGUAAAGCCUUCCAGUGUUGGACCAUCAUGCUUCCCAACUAACUCACCGCUCUUGGUCUCAUGGAUUGGUGAUCAAACUUCUGCGACCACCGGUCCUUGCAUUUUCAUAUUUAUAUGGGUUAAUCACAAUUUAUUCCCUAUAAUUUUGUGUUACUUUUAACCUCUCGAGACACAAAAAUACUCAUCUACUGUGCUGAUUUUUUUUACCAUUCUUAUCUCUUUUCCAAUUUAUUUAUUUUUCAAAAUGCUAUUUUUAAGCAAAUAAAAAGUUUCUCUAACUAAAAAUUUAGGUUGCCCAUUCUCUGAUCCACAAAAUUGGAAAAACUCUAUAUAUAUAUAUAAUCAGUUAAUUACUAAUCAGUUUCAUCUAUUCUCUAAUUUAAGAAAUUAAGAAAAUAUAUUCGUAUCCAAUUUCUUUAUAAUUAGACAAUUCAAAGUCAAUAACCCAAUUUUUACAAUCGCUCAUUAUAUGUUGGUUAUUUGGACAUUUUUUGUUCCUUUUGUCUUCUAAUAGAUUUUUGCUUAUUAGGAAUUUUUUCUGUGCAACUUUUUUCAAAAUAAUCAAUUGGAAGUGUAUUUUCUUUCACCAUAGAAUGUAUUAGAAAAUGUUUAAUCUCUAACGCUCCAAUAAUCGUUCUUAAUUUCAUAUUUUCUUAAUUGCAUUAAUAGAUUUAUUAUUCUUGUUCCAAAGUUGAUUUCUAGUCAAACUUGAUUUCUUCUUUCUCUGUUGUCCAUUUCUGUCUCUUUCUCUUUCCCACCUCUCCAUCCAAUUAAAAUAUUAUUUCAAUCCCUCAUCCCCGAUCUAUUAUUUUCAGGGCUUUUGUUUGAUUUAGACCCGUUUGUCAAGUGAAUUUUUUGAGCAUUUAUAAAAAAAAAAAUUUGAAGUGUGUAAAUUUUUGAAUAUUUUAAAGUGCAUCAUUUAAAAAGUUUGAGAAAUUUUUUGAUGUUACUAUAGCUAAAAUUAUUAAAAAACUUGUAGCAAACAAACUUGGUCAAAAUCUUGCUUGCCAAACAAGGCUUAUGUUCGCUACGAUAUUAACCAAUCUUUUCUAAUAUCUUCUCGGGAUGUUUAAAAAACAAAUGAGUGAGCUUUUGGCUGUUUCUUAAUUUCAAUUUCUCUAUUGAACAAUUAAAAGCAGUUUAUUAUUUUCAAUUUUUUAUUGCACCACAUUUAACACAUAUUAGAAAAUGAUUCAAAUAAAGAUCAAGACAGAAAUAUCCAUUAGCAAAAUAAGCCUCCCAGCAAUAAAACACAUAACUUGAACUAAAAUAUGGUAUGGGCUAUAAGCUCCCUAAAAGGGUAAAUAUCUGGAAGAACUAACCUCUUUUUACAGCCUGUCCUACACUUCUGCAUAUUAAAAUUCUACACUUUCUGGGAUUACAGAAGGGUCUAGAAACUGUUGAUGCCACGAUGGGUGAUUCAUUGGUUCCAUGCUAUCUUUUCAACAGCAGCACAUCGCACUUCAUCGACGCUUGUACAAACAUGGCUUCAGUCCAGGCCAUCUGAUUUCAUUUACGUUUAGCUUUUCGUCUUCCUGCAAAAAAAUGAAAUAAACAAAAAAUCAUAUAUUGCCAUCUCUUCAUAGCGUUUCUUCACAUGCACAUCCAGAGGAUACGUAAUGACAAACAUUGCAGACCUUUUUCUUGAAGUAUAGCAGUAUAAACAUUUUGUUGGAGAAGUCCUGCAAGACACCAGACAUUCUUAGUUACUCACGUCAGAGAUCACAUUGUACAAAAAUAGUACUCCUACAAACCUUUGACAAGGCGGUGAAUCCCAGUUGGCAUAUUGCUUUUGAAAAUUUGUUUGGAUCUGCUCCGCCGGUACUGGGGUCAAACCUGCUCUUCACUUCUGCAAUCAAAAGCCACCCACUGAAGAAAAAUCAAGAUCACCCAUAUUAUUAACUAAAUGUAAACAAAAUCAGGCAUUCCAAAACUUGAAAGAAAAGAGACAGUGUUGCAUGUAUACCGCGGCUUAAGAACUCUGUGUGCUUCCAGAAUAAAACUUGAGUAGUUAGUUCCCAUCAAAGAGAGACAAAAUACUGCAACAUCAACGGAUGAAGAAUCAAGAGGAGUCUGCAAGAAUACAACAAAUUAGAAAACAAGCUCCCUCAAUGUUUUAUAAUCUAAAGACUGUUUUGAGAGAAUGAUCUGUAAUUCUAACUAGACCCUAAUGUAACUCCAAAUUAUCAGGUAAGCACCAGAACCACUCUUAGGAUUUUGAACGAAACCCACAUUCGACAUAUCACAAGCAAUCACUGAUGAGUCCUUGGAAAUGAGAUCAAGGGAGAAGACUUUAUUCUUAACAUUUCUUGCAAGACAUGCAUCCCCUGGAAUAAAAAAAAGUUUUGUUUAUCAUCAAAAAUAAACAAAUUGAAGAACUUUGACAGUUUAUCAUGAUUACUAGUAUAAUCCAGUUAUAUUCUUACCACAGCCAAAAUCAGCAACGAUUAAAGAUGGGCUGUGAUCCUUUAACCACUUUGUGAUUACAUUAACUGGCUGUUCAGGCCAAUGUGACAUUUGUUCUUGAUAUCCUGCAUGAUACUGGCCGUGUAAUCAAGCCUAAGUUAAGCUGCAGAAAAUCAAAAUAUGCAAUAAAACAACUACUUUCAAUAACAUCCCAUCUGAUGCGCCUUUAUGCAGGUGAAGAAAACAUCAUAGAUCAACCAAAAUAGUGUAAAAAACAAAAAAAAAAAAAAUCCCAGAAGAAAGAAAACCAUUGUAGAUGAGUAAAGUGAUCUACAACAAAAAUGAUGCUGAAGAUAUACCAAAAAGCAUGCCUGACUACUAAAUUAGUAAUAUCUAAUUAAAUUGAGAGGAGACUGCCGUGAAGUUAGAGGUGCAUCAAAAUUGUGAACUGAAAAACCAACAUAAAAUGAUUAUACAGUAGGUUAUACAAGAGCAUAUGCAAGCAAAGACAUGGGAAUCCUACAAAAUAGUUGAAAUAGGGAACAUGUCUUACCAUAUUGAACAAUGCCGGAUCUUCUUUGAAAUAGUUGAAUGCCUCCUGUCCACUGGAAUUCAAAAGGGAAAAAAAAAAGCCAAAAUUGCACACGAGUUAAUGCAUGAUAUAGAUUAAGAUAAUAAUAUGGAGACAGAAAUUGAAAACGAAAAAUGAAAUAAGCUGAUAAAUUCUGGUACAUGUAGAUUUUUUUAAAAGCAUCACCGAAUCAAAAGGCAACAAAAUUUGCAAAAGCAGGGAUCAAAAUAGGGAGUAGUACUAAAGAGACGAAUGUUUACUCUUGAAAAAAAGGACAAUCAACAGAAAAUUAAGAGCACCAAAACUAAUUAUAGAACUUAAAUUGACUAUUUUUCCUGUUUGAACCUGCAAUUUCCUUUUUCUUUUCUUUUUUCCCCUUUUUUGCAUAUUCAACAACUAUGUCCACGAAUGAAAAGCGGCAGCAGCAGGAGCCAGAAGUGGAGCUUACGUGCAAGUGUAGAGUUUCUCAUUAAUCAUGCGAAAGUGUCCUCCUGAUAACUUCGCUUUCAUCUGCAGCCACAACCAUAACUCCCAUUAUAUCCAUACAUCUGUUUUUUUUGCCUGACAUAUUAUAUUUCCCUCUUCCUCCCCACCCCCCGAACGAUUCAGAGAGAGAAAUCCAAGGAGAUACCUUGUCGAGGAACGAAGACGAGGCGAUUCUUGCUUUGGAAUUGCACUUAACAACAGCAGCAGCUGGAGAAGACCGAUUCUUAGUAUUAGCGUUAAGGGUCUGCUCGAGAGAAGGAGGAGGAGAAUCGCCGGCCACCUGCUGCUUUCGGCGGUGACGCUUCCCCCUCUUCCGUUUUCGGCUCCGUUGCUGUUGGUUUAUUAUUCCUCGCCGUUCCUCCUCCGUCAUCUCUUCCUUCCUAGUCUCUCCCUCCUAGCCAGUGUAAAGUGAAGAAGGGCACAGCAUGGUAGUACAGCAGGACACCUUUACCAUGGGGAUUGGACCUUUAUAUGGGCCGGACCCAUCCGAGACGAGUUAUAUGAGGCCCAUAUCAAACAGAAACUUUCAUUUCCCCGCCUUGAAGGCCCUGUUGGAUAUUGAUUGGGCUCCUAUCUUAUCUAACAUGUUAGCCCAAUGAGCGAGUUACAUGUGUUUUGUAAGGGGCUAGUGGGUAUACAGACCCAACUAGAUCAAGGAAGUGCUCUGGCACAACCCUUAGAUUUUUUCGCUGCAGGUGAGAUUUGAACCCUCAUCUAUAGCCCAAGAAGGGACUUAAACCCCUCUCUGGUGGCCACUGAGCCAUUGGCCUAGUGGUUUGAAUCCUGCAGCUGCUAGUGUGAGAAUUAUGUUGGUGUAAACAUCCCUGUAAAUGACUUUAGGAAGCAUGUCCCAAUGUGAGGUGGUGAUCAAAAUCCAUAUCCAUGACACCCAAACUUUAAUUACCAAAAAAACACAAACUAGAACCAAGUUCAACGGGUAGAAACAUUAUUGCAAGGACUCUCAAAGUUUCAAUCUCCCCCUUUUUCCAUUUGCCCAUUUAAGAUUUAUAAUUUUUCUUAAAUAAAAUAAAACUACAUAAAUCGAGGAUUUAAAUGAAUGAUAAAAAUUUACCCUUUAUAAUAAGAGUUUCUGUUUUUCACUCAAAACACAAACAGGGCCUUAGUUACAAGUUCAACAUCGUCUCAUUGUAGACCCUUAAAAGAAAGAGCCAAAACACCCAAUAACCCAGCUGAUUACCCAUUGUCCUUUUUUUCUGUUUGGGGGUCUAAUGGAGGGUGCAGGGUGCUAAUCUAGCUGAUCACCCGUUGUCACUUGAGGUUCCAAUUGUAGCGUCUGCAGUGGAGAAUUUGAGGUCCUGUGAUCCCAUCAGUACUCAUAUAAUCAGCUCUUAAUCUUUAUUGAUAAGGUUAAACUCAUAGCUCCUUGAAUUGCGAGAAUUCCACAUUUCAUGUUGAUCGAGGAGACAUGAUAAAAUAACAGCAGAGAGAAACUUCCCAGAGUUAUUUCAUGGAUAAAAUGCAUUUACUCCGACACCACCAGAUAGAAACCCCCCAAAAAAAAAAGAAAAAGAAAAAAAAGCAGCAAUGUGCCUUGGAUCUUAUCAUAAUGCUCAUACCGAGGCGGAGGCCAAAACGCACACAAGAGUAGAGCAAUGAAGUCCUUCACUUCUAAGGCAUGCAAAAAGUAAAUGAGCAGCAGCUCCCCUCGAAUUUCUCCUUUAUAAAACCCCAGCAGUACCUUGCAUUGUGUCCGUCCCACCACGUCAUAGCAGACACAGUCUCCCCUCCUCCUUUUACCAGCUAAAUUCCAAUCCUAAUCUCAAUUUUCUUUCGAAGAAGAUGCCGACGGCAGUUGAUGAGGUUACUGCAAAGACUGAGAUGGUUGAAAUUGAACCAAACACCGGCCUUGCUCUGAAGACAGCAACGAAUGAGGAGAAAGCAAAUGAUGAGCCGGAGGCCAAAAUUUCCACCGGUGAGGCACCUAAACCGAAAGACAUGCAGCAGAAAAACGAACCCGGAGAUCCAGACGACGCAAAGAGCCAGAAAGUUGGGGAAGAGAAGGAGCCCGAAUGCCACAAAGAGCAAGAAGCGGACGUGCCAGUUGAAGUUGAACCAAAGACGGGCGUUUCUUUUCCAGUUAAGUUGAACGAUGGGAAGCAAUUGGAAGCUGUUGGUUUGAGGAAGAAGAGCAUGCUUGGCUUGGGAAUCAAAAUUUAUGCAUUUGGUAUCAUUCUCAAAACUUUGCUUUUUCUUCUGAAAAUUUGCAGCGCAUGGUCGGUGACGGUCCUAAUAUUGCUCAUCUCAUGUUGGGUAAUCGAUGUUUAGAGUUGGUCAAGAAAGUCCAAAUAUUUUGCUUGGUACAACCAAAUUUGUAUGGAUCGAUGAAUAACUCAUGCCUCACCACUCGCAGGAAUAUAUGCGGACAAUGACCAACUGAAAGCUCUUGUUAGGGACAAAAUUGGAAAAGCACCUGCCAAGCCGACCAAGGAAAUGUACCACAUGGUUAUUGAUAGUGAUGUCGGAACGAUUGUGCGCUUGGUCAUAGUCUUCUCAAGCCUUACCAUGAGCAUGGUGCGUAAAAAUUUCGAUGAAGGUCUAGGAGCUGCAAUCAAGAAACUCACCGGCGGAAAGAAAGAAGAGCUGAAAAUGUACUCUCAACUCUGCCCAUAACAUCACUAUCCCCUCCUCUCUCUUGUUUUUUUUUUUUUUUUUUUGGCCCUGUGUUCUCUUUCAUUGUUUCGAAACUUGAAUUUCUCUCCCACAACUUUAAGAGGCUGUCCCUCAAAACUACUUCAGAAUCUAAUUCUAAACCUCUUGCAUCUUCUUCUAAUUGAAGGAUCAUGGGUGAAGCAUCAGAUGAUAUCAAGCUCAUACCUGGUUCGGAAAUUGAGAUCUCCAGGCUUCCAGGUUACAUCCUACAAACAAAAGGUAAGAACUACAAACCGUUGCAGUUUUCCAGCUUCAUAUACUGCUCAUCCAAGAACUAAUUUGGCUGAAAACUUCAUUUUGGUGAAUGCAGUGAUGGGCGAGGUUGUCAGCAACGUUCAAAGUGAGCUCCUCUGCAGGGCUUACAUGUACCUGUACCUGGGAGAUGAUCCUUUUGACAAAGAAGCCAAGGACAAGUUUGGAAGCUCGUUGCUCCAUCUCUUCUAAAGAUGACUUUCAGCACUUUCAAGGUUCUUGAGCAAUAAAACCUGUUCCUUUCUAGUGUCUGAAUAAAUUUACAAAUAAGAGGCAGCGCGAGAAAGAUGAUGGUUUAUUUUACUGUUUAAGAGCUGCUUUGUAUCAAUUAUAACUCAAAAGCAGCCAUUUCUUUCUUUACCUUCCCCCUGAAUGGAGUCAUAAAUGUGCAUGAUUAAUUGUAUGCACAUUUUAAGAAGCGCUUACAUAAACAGUUAUGCACAUCAGUAAUCCAUUAAAAUAGUAUAAAAGUAGCAAAGAGACAUUCCUGGCAAAUAGACAGGACGAGCAUGUUCGGUUGAUCCAGUUACAUACAACAGCAACGUACCAUUCCUCCCAAUUAUAAAAUUCAUGAUGAGGAAGGCGUUGAACCACCUGUGACUGGAAUUGUAUUUUCAGUCUAUGACAAGCAGCACUCUGCUUGAUGUGACUCCUUCACUCUAUGGAUCCGACAAAAGAAACAGUUGUUUGCAAUCAAGCAAAGCCAACGCAUAUGGCAUAUAAAAAAUCAGUACAUGUCCUAGGCGAACCUCAGGAGAAAUCAUGGAUAUAAUCAGCUGAAACCAUGUAAGACUUUUCGAGGAUCAAGCUGUCCACUGCAAUAACUAGAGGACACAGCUGACAGCUCUUGACGUCCCUUCCAUUGUUCCAAGGGCUUCAAGGUAACAGGAGUUUCUAUAGCAGCAGAAUCUACACACAACAUAAUUUUGAAAUCCUCAUCGCCCAUAUCUGGUAGAGCCUUCGCUUUUUUGUCCCAAGGGUUCCAAACAGCUGCAGCCAACCAGCAACAUUAUAAGCUAAUUUCUCUGAAACACUUAAAAUCAUACCAAGAUAGGAGAUAAACUCUCCAACAACAAUAUAAACCUGAAUCUCCCAUGCCUUCUUUACGUAGCACAAAAGUUCUCUUCUUCUCAUGGUCAAUUAUGGCAAUUUUUGUAGGCGUGCUAAGAUAAACGCGGUCAAUCUGUGAUGAAGGCACAACCUAAGCUUGUAAUGGAAUGAUAAUCUGAGAGCAGGCAUUAUUUAGAUAUACAAGUAUCUAGAGCUAUAUACCUAUACCAAGUAUUAAUUUUCAGAUCCAACUAAGUUUGUAUCUAAAAACAAAACAUCUAAAACUAAUGUCAAAAGUUGAUCAUGACCAAACUCCUAUCCCUCACCUCAAAAUCAAGGUAUAAUGCCUAGGGCUGCAACUUUGGAACAUCAAACCACUUACCUCACCAUCAAAAGUAAUUGCAUCAGCCUGCUCCGUAUACCUCUGUCUCUGCAUCAAAUUGUCGAAGUAGUCAAGCGUCUCCAAGCCCUCAAUGCGCACUUCACUGCAAAUCAAACUGCAUCAUGCAACCUAUCUGAAAACGAUAGUAAUGUUUCUUGCAAACUUAGCUACCAUGCAGGAAAAUCAAGAGAUCAUUCAUUAAAACAUGAGCAAGGAUGACAUGAGUUUCAGAAUUUGAGUCAACUGAUGAAAGAGGACUACAGCAUCGACUGUCAAUAUGCAAAUAAUAAGCAAAAGGAAAAACUACUGAUUUACCAAAGCAAACCUGAUAUCAGACACAGAGAAGUAGUUGCGCAGAGCAAAUGUGAAUGAGAAGGCCUUAUUAUCAGUAUUUCUCACACGAGGGAUCAGAGUGAGUUUUCCAGCACUGAGAGAAAUCCGCAGCCGCAACUCAAAUCUACAAAAGUAAAGAGUUCAAACAACAGACAAAAAUUCUUGCCACUACAAUAACAACAUGAAAACACUCCGUCUUCCACAUCUUACCUGUGGGGCCAAGCUUUUAGGUCAUCUUCUGUACAUCUCAGAAUGAGAUCCACCGUUGACUGAUUAUUAGCUGGAGACAGAGGCGAAGGAGAGGGGUCCAGUGACCAUAAUCUGUUCCUUGCAAAACCAUGACGCUCCAGCGGACCAAAAUUUGCAAACUACAAGAUCCAUUUUAAGAAUUAAGCAGGCAGAAGCCCAAGGGGCACUUGAGCUAAGAUGCCGUGAAAACUUCAUUAGCUUCUAACCUGAGGGAAGUAGAUGGGUAUUCCACCCCUAACGGCUUUAGAUGGUUUCCAAAGAGCCUAAAGAAUAGAGGGGAUCCAUUUCAAUAUAAUAGGCAAAAAAUACUCCAAAAUUGCCUGUCUUUGGAAGCAAAUAAGUAGGGCAAUUAGAGGUUCCACAAAAUUAUUUUCUUCCAACAGAGGCAGAUUAUAUUGUAUGUGACAGGUUUAAUGUCACACUCAGGAGGAUCAUUUGUGUUCAAAGAAACCCACAAGGAAAAUCACAUUCUAGCUACAGAGAUGCAUGCCGAACAGUGCUUUAAUGGUUAGUAAAGAUGUGCUAUAGCUGUUUGGCAUGAGAACUUGACCUUUUUGGUUACGAAUAGAAGUUCUUCCCUUCUUUCAUUCUUCCAUGACACAACCUGCCCACCAUAGAGAAGCACCUGAAACAAAACACAUAUACGUUAAAUUAGGUGAUAGAAACUGCAAAAACCACGAAUUUAUUUCCAUGAAAACGGGUCUCCUAACCUAACACUCAGCAGUACAACUAAAUAAGGAGGUCUUACGUGCAUGUCAUGUCAGUCAAUGCAUAUACCCUGAGAAAAUAUGUUUGGUGAGUGCUGAAAUAGGGGAUAGGGUAACUUUGUAAAUGCUGAAACAGGAGACGCGGUUAAGUGGAAUUGAGUAUUUGUGAGGGAGUUACACCUAGAGAAGGAGAGUCAAGCUCUCGAGCUCCCAGAUUACGCUAGAAGAUAUCAGAGCAACCACAAACAGCUUCGGAUGCCGAACUAAUGCAAACACAAAAGAGUUUUCGCGGUUUUAGAUACUCCAGUGCCGACAACGGACCAAUUUUUUCCUAGAGUAAAAUUUUAUCGUGGUUCGAAAUCCAACUAGAACACCGGGCCACAAUUUUCAUCGUAAUCCCUUGAUUCCUAAAAUGAGGAGGAUAUUAAAAGGAGUAAAAGAGGUUUUUUGUGAAGGGGGCGGGGAGGAAGUAAAAGAAUGAGGCAAAGGACGGAAACCUCGGCAGUGGAUCCGGUAGGUUCAGACAGUAUAACUCGGGGUGAUCCAUCGGCAUCGUUAAUCAUGUUGACCGGCAUCGUUUCGGAAUGGAAUUUAGCUCUGAAAUUUUACUCAGAAACUUUCCUCCGGAGUCCCUCCCAGCCAGCCAGCUGCUACACCGCACGAGAAAUGAAUUUGAUAACAAACAGAAAUAACCAGGUACCAACAACACAAAGCAUGUAUUAGUAGAAAUAUGAAAGAUUCAAAACCUCAUAGAAUUCAAUUCAUGCCAGAAACAAAACCCGACUCACAUAAUUGAGACCUUGUGCCAACAACAUAGGGAAUUAUCAAUAGAUAAAUUCAUAGAUACGGACUGAUUAAAAUAAAUGAAAAUGAGCUUACAUUUUGGUCGAUAGUUUCAAUUUUUAAAACACCCAAAGAAACAAAAAUUACUUAUGUCGGGAAUCGGCCGCGAAUUAUAGGAAGAAAUUAGGACACCAGGAGAGUAAAUAGUAGCGUACGACCGUCGUUUUUUUUUUUUGUGUGGUGUACAGUAACACUAGUAAUUUGUAAAUUAUUCAUUUAUUAGUAUUCCUUUUGUUUCACUUUAAUAGUUUCAUUUUUUAUCUGUCUUGAAUUAUAUAGUUCAUUUUAACUUGUAAUUUUUUUAGGAUAAAAACAAAAAAAUCCUCUAUGGUAUAUCUAAUAUAAAAAAAAGUCUUCAAUGAUUUCAAAACAUACAAAACGACAUCUCGUGUUUUGAACUAAAUUGUAAACUAACAGAAUUCGCUAAACUUAACGGAAUCCGUUAAACUUAAUGGUAAAUUUAACGGAAUCCGGUAAAUUUAACCGUUGAGACCAUCAUUUUCGUUAAUUUUAACAAAUUCUGUUAGUUUACAAUUUAGUUUAAAACAUGAAGUGUCGUUUUGUAUGUUUUGAAACCACGGAAGGCUCUUUUGUGUUAUUAGGUAUACUACAUGAGAUUUUUUUGUUUUUAAUCCUUUUUUUUAAAUGCCGCUCUUAUUUAAUGUAUGUCAUUAUUGAGUAUAGUCCAACUUAUUUAAUGUAAAGUUAAUUAGUCUUACUAAUAUAAGGAUAUUUCAGGAAGAGAGUAUGUUAAAUUUGCUCUUCUAACAAACUUGACUAACAUUUUUCAAAUUGUAUGAAAAGAAAAAAAAAUUAAACCUAUCAAAGUGAGAUGAAAGAAAUAAUGCAUUUGUUUGAAAAUGGGAAAUUUGGAGAAUAAUAGGAAUUUGGGGGAUGGUGACAUAUUACUGGCUUGCGAUGCAGCUGUAGUUCAGUGGUAGUCCGUAGUAGAGUGUUAGUGCUGGUGUAGGCGUAGAGUGGCGUAUUGCGGUGGUGGGUUGGCGUUUCUUUCUUCUUAGAGGUAGCACUUGGUCCAAAGCUAUUUGGAACCUUGCCAUCCAAAGCUAUUUGGUGGGAUGCCUUUGGUCAACCGUGCCAUCCAUCAGAACAACCGACUACGUGUUUCGAUAACAGAUUAUUUAGAAUAAUAUUAUAAUAUUUUUUUGAUUUGAUAUAUACAAAAUAUAAAUAUAAUUAAAAUAUAAACAAAUAAAUUUUUCUAAAUAAUCAAACAAUCCGACACGUGCUACUACUUUUGUACAGUAAACCAAAAAAAAAAAAAAGGAAGUGUAAAAUUUUGCCCCAGAUAAAAAGCGUAUACAAUUUGAAUAAUAAAUGGAUAAUUUUUGAAGUUCUUAUAAUGGGCUGGUGGUCUCAAAGUUGUGUCCAAAAUUUUUUUUUAUCCUCACAUUUCACUACUUAAAAAAAUGCAAGGUUAAAAACCCAAAAAAAAAAAAAAAAGAUUUUGGGCACGACUCCUUUUUUUUUUUUUUUUGAUCAACAGAUAGCUUUUUUAUUGUACUCUUAUUUCUACUCUAUACCAAAGGGAAAGGAGUAGGUCCAAAUGAGCCAAUGAAGAUUUCGAAAAGAACUAAAAUAUCACCGGAUCAAACAUGUAUUUUUACAACUGCUCAGUAAAAUUUUCAGAAAAUCUCGAAGACGAAUGCAAAUUAAGAAAUCAAAUCACUUCACCUGCACCAAAAAUAGCCUUGUGGUUGGUUGAUUUUGGGCAUGACUUUACAUUUCACUAUUUUAUCUACCAAAAAGAAAAAAAAAACCCUUACAUUUCACUACUAUUUGGAUCGGUUCAUUCAAAAAUUAAUUACGCGUGUAGAAAGGCCCGGGGAGGGGGCGGCUCGAGUGAUGUCGGAGGCUGGCAAACCAAACAAGUGCACGCAUUCUGAAAUGUCUGCGCGUUAGCAUUCUAUGAGAACUUGGCAAACACUGCUCCGCCUCUUUCAAUCAUGUAAAGAUGGCAAAUCGCUAGCCUCAUUGCACUCCAUCGUCCUAAAAACGCGGUCUGAUUUCCGAUGUCUUCUGGGCGGCAAAACUCAACCAUCUUUACCGCCUUUACGUGCCUCUCACCACAGUUCGCAGACUGUUUGACGAAACGCCCCAGCGAACUACGUACACCUGGAACUCCAUGCUCAAUUGCUACUGUGCGGACAAACAAUAUCAGGAAACGCUAUCCCUCUUUUUCCACAUGUUGUCCUUCGAAAAGCCUGACUACUUUACUGUGGCCAUUGCACUAAAGGCAUGUUCCGCCUUGAGAGCUCUUGAUUUUGGAAAAAAGAUUCAUGGCUUCAUAAAGAAGAACGAGUCUAUUGACUCUAACUUAUUCGUUGGAUCUAGGCUUAUUGAGUUCUAUUCAAAAUGUGGAAAUCUCGAUGACGCUUCACAUGUUUUAGGGGACUAUGAUAUCCCUGAUGUUGUUUUGUGGACUACACUGGUUACUGGGUAUCAGCAGAAUGGCGAACCUGACGAGGCAUUGACACUUUUUCUAGAAUGGUUAUGGUGGGAGGUCUUACUCCGGACCCAAUUGUGCUUGUUAGUGUUGUUACCGCAUGUGCUCAAUUGUUGGACUUGAAUGCUGGGAAAAGUGUACAUGGCUUUAUGAUUAGGAAGAAAUUUGGAGGCUUGUCUCUGCUCAAUGCUCUGUUGCAUUUUUAUGCAAAGUCCGGAUCUGUUAAAGCUGGAGCUAAUUUGUUUUCAGUAAUGGAAGAGAAGGAUGUGAUUUCAUGGGGUUCUAUGAUUUCGUGUUAUGCUUAUAAUGGAUAUGCACGUCACGCUUUAGAACUUUUUGAUGAGAUGAUGGUUAGAGGCGUUGAACCUAAUUCAGUUGUUGUCAUUAGCGCUUUGCAAGCUUGUGAAGCUGCUCAUGACGUGGAGCUGGGCAAGAAGUUACAUAAACUUGCUGUGCACCAAGGGUUUGAGUUGGAUGUCAUGGUGGCUACAGCUCUAAUGCGAUAUGUACAUGAGUUGCGCUUCCCCCGAUGAUGCUGUUGAGACUGUUUGGAAGGAUGGUUGAAAAGGAUGCUUUUUCUUGGUCCUGCUAUCUUAUGUGGGUGUGUGCAAAAUGGGCUUGCUGUCAGUCAUGGGACUGUUCAAGACAUGCUUUGUACUCAAAUCCAACCAGAUGCUGUUAUCAUGGUGAAAAUUCUCACAGCUUGUGCAGAAUUAGGAAUUCUUCAACAAGCUUGUUGUCUACAUGGAUACUUGAUCAGAGGUGGCUUUGACAACAGCACUUUUGUUGGGGCUUCGCUCGUCGAAGCAUAUGCAAAAUGCGGUAGCUUGGGUGAUGCUAUCAAGGUUUUUUGAAAGGAUGAAAGAAAAAAGAUGUUGUUAUUUGGAGCUCUAUGUUUGCUGGUUAUGGAUUUCAUGGGCAAGGGAGGGAAUUAUUAGAAUUGUUUUAUGAGAUGAUUAAUAGUUCAACAGUUAGCCCAAACAAUGUGACUUUUCUUUCAAUUUUAUCCGCAUGUAGUCAUGCAGGUCUAGUUGAAGAAGCAACUAAAGUUAUUUAAUUUAACAUGAUGAUCAAUGACUACCAAUUGAUACCUGAAUCGAAGCAUUAUGGGAUAAUGGUUGAUCUGCUUGGCCGGAAUGGAGAUUUGAACCAUGCCAUGGACAUUAUCAACCAAAUGCGCUUACCAGUCCAUCCUGAUGUAUGGGGGGCUUUACUUGGUGCCUCACGGAUUCAUCAGAACAUGGAGAUGGCUGAAGUUGCUGCCAGGAAUGUCUUUCACUUGGACCCCAAUCAUGCUGGUUAUUACAUUCUAUUAUCUCAUAUGUAUGCUGUCGAUGGAAAGUGGGACAAUGCAGCUAGAGUUCGAACUUUUGUGAAGGAAAAACAAUUCAAGAAGGUAUCAGGUCAAAGUAUUAUUGAACUCAGGGGACGAGACCUGCAGUUUUGUAGCUAAUGACAGAUAUCACCCAACAUUCUGAACAGAUUUAUGAUGGCGGUGUCAGUGAUACAUACUAAAAUGAGAGAAGAGGGUUACAAUCCGGACUUGGAUUUUCUGCAGCAUGAUAAGGAGGAUGGUUUCAUGUCCUGAAACACGGCCAUUGCUAGGUGAUAUGUACUCUGCAUUGGCCUGGAAGAAGGGCCGAGAUAUGAACUUGUGCUAACAACUUUUGAGUUUAAAUAGAUGAACUUCUGGAAAGCCUAUUUUCAAAGUGUAUGACCUUUCCUUGGAAGCUGAAAAUUCUUUCAGAAGCAUCCACCAGAUGAUGCCGACUGAUUGGGCGCUGGUGGCUGAAGGUAUGGUCCUUCUUACUGGUUCUAUGGCGGUCACUCCAACCUGAUAUUACUGACGUUGACAGGUUAUAUGAUGGAAUGAUAUGGUUGUGCCUAAAACCUCAGGAAGUUUCGUAAACCAUGCCUUGUUAUACUGGAGGGUGGCAUGGUCUGGUUCAAGGUAGUAGCAAUGCAAGUGAUAUAUGCCUUUGCUAUUUUUCUUAGAGCAGUUUGCUCGACAGCUCUGCAUUGAAAAGCAGAUAUUCACUUCUUUUAAGCUGCUUCAUCUGCAGGCCCUCUUAUAACUGAAGAAAUGCCAACCUAUUUGCUUGGAGGGACGUGGAUUCCAUGUUUUGGCCUCUGCUGCGGCCAAGGUACGAUGCUUCUCAUCUCUUCCUUUUUUUUUUUUUUUAACCCCUCCAACCCUGGAAUGAGGAUGUCUGGCGUGGUUGGACGCUGGAGAGGCAUUGCUAAGCUUUGUAUAUCUGCUCCUUAUGCUCGUCUCCUAUGAUGGUUUCAUAUCAAUUCAGCUCGCUUAGCAAUUUACAUUCAUUCUGUAGAUGUAUUAAAACCAUUUCCAUUGUGGAGGCUAGAGCUUGUUGCAGUAAGUUGAAGCGUAUUUAUUCAGCAAAUACUUGAAUCAUACUUACAGUCGAAAGUGCCCUCACAGAAGCAAUACACAACUAUUCCCUAACUGCACGCGACUUUGGUCGAGGCACAAAUUUGUUCUUCGGAAGAGGCGUGCAAAUAAAGCACCGUACCGUUAGUGGAUUUCUCGGUUUGCAGCAUCAAGAAAAUUCAUCUCACGCUUCCCCUGGAACAAGCACAGCCACGUUAGAAGUGGCUAACAUAAUUUUUUUUUUUGGGGGUAGAAAAGAGUAACGAGUUAAUCUGUGUUGGGUUCGUGCCGGGGUCUCAAAUGCCCAGGUGUUUUGCUUUACAAUGCAAAUAAAUAGCUGAGUGGUGAUUCAGCUGUUUUUUUUUCCUCUUGUAUACAAAUGGUAAAUGAGGCCACAUCGUCUUGAUCAAAUGUAAGAAGCUAAUUGGACUUGAUACAGCACAGCAAGAUGUGAUAUUUUGUCUUUUAGACAUGGGCAUUUAAUUUGUUCCAAAAAAAAAAAGGACGUAGGCAUUUAUUCGAUGCGCAUCGGGAAAGAAAUCAAAACACUGCUGAUAUCAACAACAUUUGCAAUUUGGGUGCGGAGUUUGUUUAUGAUGGGGCCACUAUUUAGUCGAUAAAUAUGCAAACCUUUUAAUUGCAGUUUUCUGUUGCAAUGUAGUCUUUUUUUUUUUCGGGUAUAUUCAUCAUUCUUUGGCCAAGUUCUCUGUAUGCCACAGUGCGGACGUUUUUAUCACGUAGGCCGGCAGACCAGGAGGAGGACUGCUUUUUGGUCAAGGAAUCGAGAAAAGAUUGAGCAGAGAAACAUUUCCCAAUCAGAUUUGAGAUUUCUAAUACUCCUAACCAAGGCAUGAGCGGCAUCUUCUGUUUUAGAAACUGUGGCCGCCGCCAAAGCGAAGCUGAGAUACUCCUAUUGUAACUUUGCAGGAACAAAGGCUGCCGUCAUUUACUAUAUGUUUUCCUAAGCAAUUCGGGCCUCCACAACACAAGCACAGAACUUUUUCUUUUUCAUGCUUCAUUAGACGUCAUCUCUGGAUUUUGGAAACCUAGCAUAAGCCAUGUUCAUCCGGAAAGAGACAAUUCCAAUUUCCAGUGAGCUGAAUAUUUUAUUGUGCUUAAAAUACUUUUCUGUUUGGUCAAUCAUCCCAUAUUUCCUCUUUUAUCUUUUGAACAUGGCCAUCGAUCAUCUCAAGUCUAAAAUCCUAUCCGUUGGUAUUGAAAACUGCAAAAAAUCUUAGAACUCAUCAUAAUUUUGAGAAUAUAUUAUAUAAGACCAUUUCUCGGUAAGAAUAUUUACAAGAGGAUCCCCCCCAUUUAUACGAGUUAAUACUGGCGCUACUACCUACUUUAAAAGGCUGUGAUAGUGCUUGCUUCUAUAAAAGGAAAGUAAAAGACGUACUUCCAAGGAAUUCCAACUCAGGAAUGGACAUAAAGCUGAGUAGGGAAUAGCAAGUUUGCUUCUAAUCCAAACAAUGAAAAAAGGCUCCCAAAAGCCAGACCUUACACCACCUUGAAGCAAUCAAAUACACACACUAAACUAAAUUUCUAUAUUUUCAUUUUCACAUAAAAGAGAGUUGAGAAGUGACUGAGGGGGAUAGAGGGCUUCCAUCCAUGGAAGACGUGAUAGUGGAAGCCCUUCUAUCUAAUGAACGGGAAGCUCAGAUUUUAGCUGCCAGAGAACUCGGUAAACUUGCAACCAAACUAAGACAGAAGUUAGCAGAAAGAGGGAUCAUUUCUCGGCUCGUUACGAUGCUUCGUACGCAAGAUUAUGAAGCCACUGAAGCGGCACUCUGUGCUCUGCUUUGUCUAGCUUUUCACAGUGAAAGGUAUUGUUUGCAUCAGUUAAAAUUUGCAGUCUUUGAAAUUGCAUCCGACGGCAUUGGCUGUAGAAUUGUUCCCCAUCUAAUUUUACUGUGAUUUUGCAGAAACAAGAUCCGAAUUGCAAAUUCUGGUGCCAUACCAGUAUUGCUGGAGAUCAUUCAACGCCCAAAAGAGUCAUUGAUUGACCUUGCAGCAGCAGCCCUCUUGGUUCUUUCUUCUUGCUCCGCUAACAAGCUAGCAAUCGCGGCAUCUGGGGCUAUCCCGAUCCUGGUUGGAUCCCUGAAUUCCCAAUUGGCAGAAGAACGCGGUUUCCAGAAUCUAAGCGUGCAGGCUAAGCUCGACAUCAUAUCCACAUUUCACAAUCUCUCCACCUAUCCUCCGAUAAUCCCAUCUAUUGUUUCUUCUGGUAUGGUAAAAGCCAUGCUUCAACUAAUGUAUGAGUUCGGAAAACAAUCAAAGAUAAUUGAGAAAGCGAUGGCAUUACUGGAGAAGAUGGUUUCCUCGUCAGAGAUUGCACUGGAGGAGGUUGCUGAGACUGCUCCUCUUGUAAUCCACUUUCUAGUGGAGGCCGUCGAAGAAGGUACACCACUAUGCAAAGAGCACGCUGCAGCUACGUUACUGGUCAUGUGCCAAAGUUGUAGGGACAGAUACAGAGGAAUGAUUUUGAGGGAAGGCGCUAUGCCAGGGCUGCUACAAUUGAGUGUUGAUGGGACAUCGAAGGCCAGGGAAAAGGCCAAAGCUCUGCUGCAACUUCUUAGAGAUUUCUCAGAAUGUCGUACGCGAGAGGAACGAUCAAAGAAUCGGCUCUUGGAACAUGUUAUGCAACAGAUUGAUAAAGGAGACACAACUGGGACGGGUCUGAGACUUGUGGAGGAAAUGAUUGCAAGACUUAGGACGUAGUAAUUUUUAAUCUUUUCCCACCUUCUGCGUGUGCCACUGUUAUUGUAGGUAAUCACGUUUUCUAUUGCCUCCCGUAUUUUUUUCCCCCCACUUUGAUUUAGACCUCUCUGACAAUGGACUAUCUAUGAACACCACACACUCCAUUACUUAAUUGCUACUUUUCUCUCAGGAUUUAAAAAAAAAAAAAAAAAAUUCAUGGAGGAUCCUCUGGGUUUUUCAUUUAAUAUUGAUGUUUUAAAAUGGAUGCUGUAAUCCUUUUUACGAAAAUUUGGAAGUGGAAUUAGUUUGAUUUCAGGUCAAAGGUGUAGGAUGAUUUCAAUAAGAAGUCAAAGGGUGAUCUUAAUAAGGAGCCAAUACCCUAGAAAUCAUCGAUUUAUUAACUUUUAUGCUACAUUUCUUUAUUCGUGCAGCAUUUUUGCUGUCACCCGAAGUUAUCCUUCCCAGUGCUGGGUUUCCCCAGUCAGCAGGAUAACUUAGAAAGGGUAAUAAUGUUGCAACAGGAGAGGAAGGGAUAAUAAUAUUCCUCUCCUCAGGAAUAUUUGAAACGAAUUGGCUCCAUAGAGAUAAAAUUGGAGGAAAAAUAAAUGUCGCAAUAGGAGAGAAACUUAGAAAGGGUCGAGCGGUACAAAGCAGCUGAAGUAGUAACUAAGCACCAAAGAACGUCUAUAAAACGCAAGCAACAGCGAGAACAGGUAAUAAUCUUUUAUCUUCAUCAUAUGCUACUCUCUACAUUUAUCUUCACGUAGAGAUGAAUGUGUAACUAGUAUCUUCUUAAACAAGUACGUGCUUCUCACGAUUAUCUUAUUUAGUGCAACUUAACCUCUCCAGAACAUACCAAGGCAUACGACCUCAAAAUUUAGAUGCAAAACAUGUAGCUAGAAUGCCCAAGGCAACACUUCACCUUGACCUUUUGUAAAAAGCAAAUGCCACAGCAACGGUAGUCACUGCUCCAAGGACAGCAACAGUUGUCAGGACAUCACGCUGCUCCCAUCUUCCAAUCCAGUUUGAGAGCUUUCCUGUUCCCUUUUGUACCUCUUUCUCCUGAAAAUUCACAUCUCUGCAACAUGAGACUCCAUUAGCACCUUGGCAACAGCUUGAACUACUUUCAUUCUUUUCCUCGCUUCUGAUUUCUUGUGGCUUCUCUGCAUAAUUGUUAAGACUUGUACCAUUUAAAAGCUUCUGCUGAUGCACGUUCUCAGCUUCUUCAGUAACUCCCAUUUGGCCUCUGAAGUAGACAACAGAAACAUCACACAAGGGCAUAAAUUACAUGAUCAAAUUUUGAUGUUUUAACAGUGUCUGCAUGUCAAAAAGUUUCUUUUGCUUAGAUGGCAAUAACUUCAAUAGUAAUAUAUACGUGGCUACACAUGAAUGUUCUACUCCUACAUUCUCUUUCAUACUUCUAAAGUAUAAAGCUACAUCUUCUGAAAAGCAUACUGUAUAGCAAGAUAUCAAUAUUUUGGGCAAGUAUUAUGUAGAUAAGUAUCCAAGAUUCAUGUCAAGAAAAGAAACAUUCCAUCCAAAGGAUGUUAUAUGUUGCACUCAAAAAUAAAAUGUUUUUAAAACUCAAAUGCUCGGUUGUCAACAUCCUUAAAUGGUUACCUCAUGAUUGCAGCAUUCCAACUUAGAUUGGGAAAAGAAAAAAGAAAAAGAAAAAGAAAGAAAGAAAGAAGAAGAUAAAUUUGUGUUCAGCUUUUGACACAGAUUUUGUGUUGGGAGAUGAACAAUCCCGUGCAGUAUAGUUCAAUAAAACUGCCAAAUAAUGUCCCAUCUGAUGGUGGAAAAUGAGAACCUGUCUCCUACUAAAAGGUAUGCGGACAAAUUUGAAUUCUGACCCAGGUAAGAUUAAAAGAUUAGGGAAGUAAUCUGACCAGAGUACAAGAAAAUCAAAAAAUAUAUUGAUGAAGACAUUCUCAGAAAUAUAGACAGAGCCCAAAAAGUAAAAAAGUAAAACAAAUGGGACCAUACGGUGGUACAUGCAAAAACAAGUCCAACAACAAAUCUUCUGGAGUGAGGUCAGGAAAAAAUUUAAAAAGAGCAGAAAUGAAGACAAACCUCCAAAUUCGCUCAAUGAUUUCUCCCUUCCCAAUAUGCUGAUCAAGCAGUUCAGGCACAUCAUUAGGCGUAACAUAUCCAUACCUGCAUGAUCAGAAAAAGAAUUCAUCACAAAAAAAAAAAUCUGCAACAGACCAAAGAUCACUGAUCUGAUGAUUUGGUUCUUCAUGUCUUUGAUAAGCGGUCAAUUUACCACAUCUCUGAUGAGUGCUCAAUACAGAGAGCUUUACAAAAUACAUAUGGGAUAAAGAGCCGGACCAAAUCAGAGCAAAUAGAAACUCCAAAUCCAAAACAAACAAACAAACAAACAAAAUGCACGCACACGCGCACACACACACACACACUUUUUUUAAAAUCAAGUCAUUACCAAUGGCCAUCAAUUUUCGCUUGAGCAUUGGCACUGAAAAUGAUCACAUUGCCAGCAUACUUAUGGCCUCCAAUAUGAGAGCAAGCAGUCACAAACACCUGGCUCUUUAAAGCCCUGGAGUCAAUCUCUUCUUUGAACUUCUCAAUCAGAACAGGUCCACAAACACCACACCUUUUGUCUCGAUUAUUGUGAGCACAAACAAAAACAUAUGAACCAGUCAAAACCUCCUGUUUACCAGCAGCCCAGGAGUUCCCAUUAACAAGCACAUCCUCCACAAACCCAUCCACAUCCGAGUCAAAUCUCUUCAACAAACAAAACAAAUUAACAUACAUGCAUAUAUAUAGAGACACAUAGAGAAUCAUCAACCAUCUAGAAGAACACACUUGUAACACAUGAUGACAACAGUUGUAGUUUUUAUACUCGUGAACUAAAGCUUUAGCAAGUAAAACAACUAUACAAACGAAAUUCACUUGUAGGACAUCAAAGUUACAUGGAUAAAAGCAUAACAUGGAAGAUGCCAGCAAAGUAUGACCUAAAUUCAUAAACCCAAUAGUACUACUCAUAACAAAAUAAAAAUAAAAUAAAUGAAUGAAUGAAUAAAUAAAAUGAAAGUCAGACACUAGAAGUAUUAGUCAAUUAAUUACCUGUACUUGAUCAUAUCAGGGAAAACCAAAACAUCUCCAUCCGAUAAUUGCAAGUCCUCAAGCCCUUCGCAUAUGGUCAAACGAGCCUACCACAACAUAUGAAAAUAAAUUGAGUACAAUAUAUCGAAAAUACAAGAGUAAUCUCCAAAAACUCUGAUACAAAACACAAUCAAUUACUCAAAUUAAUCCAGAAACAUGAAAAUAUAGUAAGCUAAUACAGUUAAAACUGCAUCUCUUCUGCGUAAUUAUGUAAUAUGAAAUCGACAAAGCAGCAGAGAAAUUCGUAAAUUUCGACCAAAAAUGAAAACCUGAAAUUGAGAGUAUAAACCUUGAUUUUGAUAUCAGCCUUGCGAGCUUUAAGAGCAGCUGAGAGAAGCUUGGGGAGAAGAUCGGAAUCGGAGGCUUCAACACGAGAAGGCCAGGAGUCAUGAGAUUUGUAGCAGAGGAAGAGGUGACGUUCGUAGGGGUCAACUGUGCCGGCGAGAUUGCUUUGGUACAUCUCCGACCGCUUAAAACCAAACUUGAGAUCAUCUUCCUCGGGCAAAACAGUAGAAAAGUACUGGGUCGUUUCUCCGGUGGAGGCCAUAGCUGGAGAUCGCUUCAGCGAGAGGAAGGGUUUAGGAGAGACUUUUCCUGGAUGACCGGAGCGCGACCAGAAAAAUGCGACUGGAAAGAGGAC
rnacentral:lncRNA from 1 species